ACAGGGAUGUCCCUCGAUCAUCAACAGCAAAGUUCAAGGGACGCAUCCCUGGGUGGCUCACAGGGCCAACCUUCUAAGCAGUCUCAACAAUUAUGGCAAAACAGCUACUAAUCUCAGUCACCUCCAGGUUUUUCAGGGUCUCACUCCGAGUUUGAAAGUGGCCAAUCAGAGGCAUUAGGCCUCUUAAUAAUCAUCAUGUAUCCUUAUUUGGUCAUAAAAGAGACCUUGACUGGCUGCUGCCCUGUGCCACGAGGUUGUAUCCUAGAUAUUUAUUUUUCCUGUCAUGCUUAACGUAGGAACGCAGUGUGCUAAUUUGGAUUAGUGAAGUACUAUACUACGCCCCGUUUCGUUUCUCGCUCAUCGCCUUUCUUUGUUAUAGUAAAAUCAUUGUUUGCUUUGAAUGAAGUAACCAAUAUGGGAUACUGCUGAGACCCCGCUACUUGCAUCUGGGUUGGUUUUCUUCAGUAGGUUGCGACAUGUUUUGUUGACGUUGACAUGUUUUGUUGACAUUCUUGCCAAAGAUCUAACUUCUUAGUUGUGAAAUCCACGUCCUAAAUUGAAGUUCACAAAUUUUUUUUUCUGGUAACAUUUCAUAAAAAAUAAAGUUAUUAAAAGAUAAAAUUUAAGUUAUCAAAAAAAAAUGUGUACUUUAAUUUGGGGUGUGUGGAUUUUACAAUCCUCACAUAAGUUAGAGCGUAUAAGAUUUCUUUCAAAUGAUGUUUUUAGAUUUAGUUUCUUAGAUUUCGAAUGGUGUUCUUAAAUUUUAAGCUUCUCAUAAAAUGUAAAUAAAUGUCACACUACGGUGUUGAUAAAUUCAUUAAGAUGUACCUUCAAAAGUAAUAUAAGGAAACUGGUAAAUCUGUAUAAAUUUUUUUUUUUUUUUGUAUGGGAAUGGGUAUCUGUAUUUGAACACUAAAAAUCUUCAAAUCAACAAAUUUACAUCGGUAUAGGGCUCUCCAACCGGCGCCCCUCAUCCCAUAAAGAAGUAAAACUUAACCACACUUAUAACCGACGAAUUGUCGUCGCUGGAAGUCUCAAUUUCAUUAGAAAACAACAACAAAAUCUCAGUCUCACAAACUAACUGUAAAAACUAGACAGUGUCUUUACCCAACAGGGAACCUGCGAGAGUGCUCCUCAAGCCCCCAGUUUGGAAGUUGCAGCUUCCAACGCGUUAAAGCAUUAAACUUUAAGCAUUGUUGUCAGUGGAGAAAGGCCUUCACUUUAUAUGGCAGUUUGUUUCAGAAUCACUCUUCCUUCUUCUUUCUUCGGUAAUCUUUCCACUUCUGUAAUCUUUCAUAGAAAAACUUUACUUGAUUCAUUCUAGAACGCAUCACAAAAGCCCUUUUCUUUUCUUGAUAAUACCACCGUUCUUCUCAUCAAGGGUCAUCACUUCAAUUUUCAUCUCAGUUUUAAGGUAGACAAUCAGACAUAGCCUUUUCUUUUCUGGGUUCUUUCGCUUUUCUUGAUUAUGGGUAAAGUUUAGUUCUUUUAAGAAUUGUUGGUAUGUGAAAUGGUAAGAAAUUAAGGUGAAGUGCUUUGCUUCAAGUUUGCAUUGUGGGUUCAAGUUUCUGAUACCAAAGAAUUGGCAAGAUAUGAUUUUUAUCAUCUAUGGUGUGCUAAAUGCCUAUAUUACAGGGAUGCUUUGAAUCUGAUGGUUUCAUGCAUUGCAUUUUUGGGCUGUGAUCACCAAUUUCAGCAUCUUGGUUUCUUUUUCUGAGGGAAAUAGAAAUUAUUUUUCUUGUUAGAGCAGUAGCUGGUUUGUUAACUUUAUGUGUAUGUGUAGAUGGAAGACAGCAACAAGAGUAAAACAGGUGACAGCAUUUCUUGUGCCGGUAGCAAUAAGCCGAAGAAACCAGAUGUCCAUAAGAACGGUUAUAGUAAAGAUGUCAUGCCUGGGAGUGAACUUUGGACUGAGGGGCUUAUCUGUGCUUUUGAGUUCAUUCGGGGUCGAAAGAAAUCAAUUGGUUUGAAAUCUGGCUCAACAAUCCCAAGCAGACAACAUACAGAUGGUGGUGACCAUGAGAAGCUGCGGGUUCCUUCUAAAGGAGUUCAAGAGUCUUCUUUCCCAAUACAUGACAGGAACAAGUCCAUAAGUGGUGAUUACAAAUACAGCCCGACUCAUGAUGGUGAAAGAGUAACUGAUCACUGGGUGCCAAUUGGGUGGGUUAGAAUUUCAGAAAUCGUCCAAAAUGUGCAAGCUGAUGCCGGUUGGGAUCCUCAACAGUUUGGGAUUGAUGAUGAAGAUUUCACUGUUGCAGACUUAGCAGCUCCAUAUUGGGAGCGUCCAGUAGGGCCUGUCUGGUGGUGCCAUGUCUCUGCAAGUCAUCCUGCGGUUGAAGAUUGGCUCCGUAAUGCCCAGUGGCUACAUCCCGCUGUCAGUUUAGCUUUAAGAGAUGAAAGUCGACUGAUUAGUGAUAAAAUGAAACACCUAUUAUAUGAGGUAAAGUGCAUCUUACAUAAUAUGGAAUUGCUAUUUACUUGGAAGAAUCAGCUUUUAGGCCUCUUGUAAUAAGAAAGUAGACCUGGGAUUGAAUCGCCUUAACUACAGAUGGUGGCUUGUAGGAUUGUGCACCCCUAUUGCAAUUUGUGAUGUAUGGCCAUUGCAUAUAGAAUAUUCUAUACUUAGAAACUACCAAUAAUUUUAUGAACUGUUAGGAUGAUAAAUAGCUUUCUAAGCCAAUAAAAUGUGGUGGCUUGGGUUAAAGCCUGAGAGGUCUUAUAUCCGCACUAUUAGACUGCUAGGAAAGCCAAUAAGCUCUUUACUGAAAAUUUGCACAAAACAUCUUUGUCUCUUCUUUUGUAUCUUUUGUCCCUUUAUUUCAUGAUUCAUGACAUUUAGGAAAGUAAGGACUUCUAGUUGGUAUAUCUUUGAGUUUUGUAUACAUUGCUUGAUACUUGUGAAUCCUACGAGUGGAUCCACAGAGGUGAAGAGUAACAAAAUUGAGCCCUCCCAUAAAUGAGCUAUAUUUGUCAAUCUUGAGAAUGAAUUUGGCUUUCAUUCUUGUGUGAGCUCUUGUUUCCUUGUUUAUUGAUCAUGCUUUGUACUUCUAUUCAGGUCCCAGUUAGAGUUUCUGGGGGGUUGUUAUUUGAACUCUUGGGACAGUCAGUUGGUAAUCCAUUUGUUGAUGAGGAUGAUAUACCCGUUGUACUUCGUUCCUGGCAAGCACAAAACUUCCUUGUAACUGCUUUGCAUGUGAAAGGGCGUGUAUCAAAUAUAAAUGUGUUGGGCAUCACAGAAGUUCAGGUUGUGCUUAUUAAUAGCUUUGAUUCUAAACUAAACUAUGAUUUUAUUACUCGUGCAAUUUAUUAACUUAUUGUGAUGCCAUGUUUAUUCCAUUUUGUCUUUGCUCUGAUUAGGAACUUCUUUCCACUGGAGGCUAUAAUGUACCAAAAACAGUGCAUGAAGUCAUAGCACAUCUAACUAGCCGCCUUACUCGAUGGGAUGAUAGGUAAUGUUGAUAUUUAUUGAUUGUAUUUGUUUCAGCUUACAACACAUACUUUUUAAAAUGCUACAUCAAUUAUUUGUCUAGUCUCAUGAAUGCUAGUUUUUGUGUUCCAAUCAUAUGAAAUGCUUUCUUCUCUUUUCCCCUUUUCAUCUAUGCAUUCAAAAAUGCUGCAAUGAGUUUAUAUGGUAUUUGUGUAAAUGCUCCCCCAUGCACACAAAGACACAAUUACAGUUCAGUUCAUGCAAUAUGUUAAAGCAGACGUUUUGAUUGUUUAUGCUAUAGAUUUGGACAUUUUACAUCGUCUUUCAGCAGGGUUGAUUAGUUUGUUUUACAUGAAAGUUGGUUCAUUUAUCUCAGAAUAGAUUUUAGAGUAUUUUGAGUCCGUAUAUUCUAAUUUCCUUAUGUCUUUGAUGUGUUGGUUGUUUCAGGCUGUUCCGCAAAUCCAUAUUUGGUGCCGCAGAUGAGAUUGAAUUGAAGUUUAUGAACAGGUACUUCCUUAGAUAGUCCUCAUAAAGUGAUAUUAUCUCAUUAAGUAAUAAGUUGAUACCAUUUUGUCUAUGACUAAUAAAUGUUCUUUCCUCAAUGAAUAGGAGAAACCAUGAAGAUUUGAAUCUAUUCAGCAUAAUUCUCAACCAAGAAAUCAGAAAGUUAUCGAGACAGGUAUGUUACAUCUUUUUGCUAGUAAACCAUUAAAUAUGAGAAAUAGCCUGAUUUUUCAUUAGGAAAUGAAGAUUGAAUUUGAGUAUGAUAUCUGAGGUUAUCUGUUACAUGAUUUCUAAUUCUAUAAUAAGACCUACAGUGAAUGUUUAUGGUCUAAGAAUAUGUUUGGAUGUCAUUGAUUUCAACCUACUUGUACUAUAGUUUAACCCGUAUACUAUUUAUUUUGGACAAACUAACUUUUAGCAACUAUACAUUAUGUUAUAUCUGUUUAUCAGUGACCUCUUUUCUCUUGACUGUUGAAGUGGAAAAUCCAAGUCACAGUGAUAUUUAUUUAAAGAACAGUCACUAGUCACUUUUUUUAGUGUCCUUUAGAGUUAAAAUGUCAACAAAAUUGAUUAAUUUCCUGAAAAAUCCAUUUCCAGGUCAUCAGAGUAAAGUGGUCACUUCAUGCAAGAGAGGAGAUUUUGUUUGAGCUUCUUGAACAUUUGAGAGGAAAUAUUACAAGAACCUUAUUAGAGAAAAUAAGAAAGAGCACAAGAGAAAUGAUUGAGGAGCAAGAAGCAGUUCGUGGCCGCUUAUUUACAAUUCAGGAUGUGAUGCAGAGCACUGUUCGUGCAUGGUUGCAGGUCUGUACGCAAACAAUAACGUGAAAUUUAAUGGAACUUUAUUUAUAUCUAAUUUUUAUUAACUGCUGAUUUUGUCCUCUUUUCAAUAUUAAUCCAGGACAGAAGCCUAAGAGUGACACAUAAUCUUGCUGUUUUUGGUGGUUGUGGCCUUGUGCUUUCCAUCAUCACCGGGCUUUUUGGAAUCAAUGUUGAUGGAAUGCCUGGAGCAAACAAUACACCAUAUGCAUUUGGCCUAUUUACAGGCAUACUCUUUUUUAUUGGAAUCGUGCUAAUUCUACUUGGGUUGCUUUACCUUGGGUUGAAAGAGCCUAUUGCCGAAGAGCAAGUCGAAGUUAGAAAAUUAGAGCUUCAAGAGUUGGUUCAGAUGUUUCAACACGAGGCAGAAACUCAUGCCCUGGUUCGUAAAAAUGUGUCUCGGAAUAAUUUACCGCCAACAUUGGGAGAUGCAUUCAGAGGUAACGCAAAUUAUAUCCUCAUCGAGUAGGUUACAGUGCCGAAAGCCUGGAAGUGCAUUUUGCACCAAGCUCUUGUCUUGAGAAUUUCUAGUUGAAAGGAAAUGUUGCAGGCUUCAUUUAGUGUAGUGGGGGCGUAUUGAGAAUGAUUCCUAGUGAUACGGUAACAAAAUAGAUGCAUAAUCGAAACUUGGUAUGUUGUUAAAUAGUCGUAUUUGUAAGUUUGAAUCUAAUGGAUUUGAGAUGUCAUUUUUCUGUUAGAUUUAACUUCUAACACUGUCCAAAUACUUUAAGAAUAAUGGAUUUUAGGUUUAACAUGCCUAAUUGCCUCUACCAAUAUGGGGUUAAAUAAAGAUGUGCUUUCCAAAAAAAACUGCAAUAAAAUCGGGAGUGUGGAACCAACAUAACUUGGCAUUAAACAUCUCGUAAUGGUGCCCAUGUAAUUAGUAAAUGGUAGAAACAUUCUCAAGUACCCAUGUGAUGAUCACAUUCAACUCAAAAACAUAUCUCUGUAUCUCAAAUCCAUAACUUGAAUUCUGAAGCUUUUACUUGAAUUGUUCUAAUGUGUAAAUCAUUCGAGUUCUGUAAGAGGAGAUGAAAGGAAGUGAUAAAUUCUUAUAGUAUGCAGUUUCGCGAAUGCGCUACUAUAAGCCAUUACACCUAAUGGAUAAGAAUAUAUUAGACUGAUGUUCUUUCCAUGCUUCUCCUGUCAUCCACUCACUUGAGAAGAGAUCUGGCAAAAUGUUCGCGUGCAGUAGCAAGUGCUUGGCCUAUUGUCUGCAAAUAGAAGAAGAUAUAAAUCAAUAUACAAUAUGGUUGGUUCAGUCUAGUUGUUAACUUGAAUUGCUUUUCAUGUCUGAUUUAAAUUGAUGAAGAUCAUUGUUAUGGGGUUAGGUAAGGCAUACGAGAAUUGACAUACCUGCUCAGAUAAUGGAGCUCCAGAAUCAAUACUAUGACUCGCAACCUUACUUGCUAUAACAUUUGAAUCGGUCUCAAGAACAAUGCUGUGCAAAAAGAAAAGAACAUGUUAGUCCAGGUAGAAAUAGUAACCCUCUCCUGUAUAGAGGGUAUUAUUUGAAAAACAAAUAUGAAUACAACGAAAGGUAAACCACAAAACGUAACCAAGCUUAGGCAAGAAAAUACACUAUUAAACAACUUUCCACCAAAGAUACACUAUCAAACAACUUUCCACCAAAAAUACACCUCUAAGGAUAAGGUAAGAUCUCAAAAAUAUAGCACCGACGGCAAUCAACAAAUUCUUCAACUAGUGGCAUUCCCUUGAUAUUCAAAUCUCCCAUUUCAGUAUGAACUAAACAGCCACAGAUGAACCCCCCUGCCUACCAAACAGAAUAGCCAUUGCCCAAAACUAUACCCCAGCUAGUGGACUGGGAACAGCAAUCCCAAAUUGAGAUGCAAAACAUCCUAACAUGCACUACGCAUCAUUACCUUUGUUGUUAUAUCAUGCAAAAUCUUCAGUCUACUACUAAAAAUAAUGAGCUGAACCUUGGAAAUUUAAUUACCUGAAUUACACUACCAAACUUUAUUCACAUGAAGGUUUUAACUUAUAACUCACCCGCCAUCAACAAUUUCAUCAAGGCAUAGUAGAAUGAGGUCCAAAUUCUCAAGUGCUUCCUUUUUGUCCACAUUGCCUCUGCACAAAAGUAAGCCAAAAUGAGUAUCAAAAUCUGAUUACUUUAUAGUAUUGUCUACAAACAGAAGAGGUGAGAACAACCUGAGGAGAAUUCCAACUGCAUCAAAAAAUCCCUGAAGAACUGUGGCUAAAAUGAGCUCAUUUUCAUUAUCACCCCCAGUAACAAAAAAGUGAAGGUCUUGAACAAACUUGUAAACUACUAUGCUGUUCUCAAACAUCGCUAUCUCAGCUGCACUCGAAGAAAUUGUUACGAAUUAAAGAGUCAAAACAACAGAAUACCUCAUGCAAGGGAGUAGAAAUUUGCAAGAGCUAAACGAAAUUGACAACACUCAUAUUACAUAAAGAUAAAUAAUUAGAGCACAAAUUACCUUCUGUCCGUGCAUUUGUCUUUUGAGUUUUAGUGAAAACAGCUUUCUCAAAAGCUUCUUUUGCAUUAUUCGUUGGCCAGUCCUCUGAAUAAUACUUGACAGCUACACGUUUUCCUUCAGAAUCUAGGAGGAGGAUGUUCUUUACAGUAGGGCAUGACUCCUACAAAUAACAUCCAAUGAAGAGCUCAGAUAUUGCCAAAAGAUAAUAAGUUCAAUGCAGCAGUUAUUGUAGCAUUAUGAAUACUAGGAUAUACACCCUAGCCCCGUCCAAUUAAGGUCAGAUAUCUACUGAUUCAUGUUUAUCAUGGGCAAGCAAUUGCGUAUCACGCCUCCAAUAGUGUAAAAGCUUACAUUAUCUUAUUAUUUAACACAUUACUCUUCAAAGUUACAAGUCAACUAUCUCUUCCAUGUUAUCUCAAAUGCGAUACAACACCAAGUCCAACAAUGCUUCCAACAAGACCAGCCAAACAAGCAACAGAAUGGCAUAAUUUCGUGUUACCAGACACGAUUUCUAGCCUACGUUAGCAUACAGGAAAUAGAGAUAUUUUCAUAUCUAACACAGUGAACGCACAAAUUUUCUUUUGGGAAACCACAUCUGCCUUAUAUUGCAACCAAGAAACCCUACCUAACAAAUAUAUCCCCAUUACUGGCGCACCGUAAUCAUAUCCUAAUCAGCUUGCGCAAGCUUACUAGUUCCGUAUCAGCUCAAUUAUCAGAAAUUCAAUCAUAAUCCACUCAUAACACUACCUACAUUGUGCUCCACAUUCCUAUAACAUCAUCAAUCAAACCCAAAACAAGCAAACACCAAAACCUUACUACCUCAAUUGGCCAUGGCAGCUCAAAUUCCACCUAAACAUGUCAAAUUGAUCCCCUUUUUACCCUAAAUCACACUCCAUCACUGUCUCUCUUACAUUUCUCAGCAUCAAUUACAAUUCACAGCAACAAAACAAUCAAAGCUUGUGACUUUAUUAACAAAUUUCUUAGUUUCCGAUCAACAAUGCAUGCCUACACAAAUCUAUCUCCAAAAACUCGUAUUCCAAUUACGUCGUAGUUUCAGGAUCUGCAAGAUCCAGCUCAACCGACACUCGGAUCAAGAAGCUCACGGCAAACGUGGCACCAAACCCUAACCCUAGAAAUUACUACUUAUCAAAUCAACCAUAUAUAUAAGCAAAGAAAAAAAAAUUAGAGAAAAAAAAAAACUAACCAUUUUGAUCGGAGAAGCAGUUUUGAUUUUCUCAGAGAGACGAAGACGACGAACCCGAAAGUUUAUGUUUACAUGACACGUUUAUUAAUACCAAACCCACCACUCAAAUUUUGGUUAUUACUAAAGAGACCCCGAAAGUUUAUCUAUUUGUAUUUGGGACCACAAAGUUUGUGUUAAAUGGUUCUUGUUUUGCCAAUUUGCCCCACCGAUCUUGAGCUUAAAGAAAAUCCCAUAUUCAUGAGUCGAAUGUUACAGCUUCCAAUCCCAAAGGUGCCAUCUUUUUCUGUAAUUCAAUGUGAUUGUUAAUGGGUUUAGAUUUGGUUUUGGUAUUUGAGUUUGUUUUUGUGUUUGGUUUUUCAGGUAGCAGUAGUGUCAGUGUUUCAGAACCUGUUUGGAGCUCAUGGACGGUACUUUCCUGCAUGCCCUUUUAUUUGGUUUUGAUGUUUUGCUAUUGGGUUUAGCUAAUGUUUGAUCAGACCGGAUAAAAAUCUGAUCUUUUGAUUGUUUCUGCAUACCCUUUGUUUUACUGAUCUUCAUUCUGAUCAAUGUGAAUAGAAAGAGUAGAGUGGAAAGGAGUAUUGGGUUUAUUUGAUAGGUGUGCUACUUGUAAUGUGGUUGAUGCCGGAUUUGUGUUAUGAUGAUUACACUCUGUCUGUGAAUUGGGCUACCUAGUAUCUGUAUCGGCUGUAGUUGUAUUAUUGGGUGCAAAGUUUUCAAAACAUCCUUCAAUUUUAUAGUGAAAGAUUCUGUUUUUGUUUGGUUUAUUGACUGCUGACUGCAGUAUGCAUCCACUUUUCUUCUUUUAGAAUGCGUGGUUUUUGUAAUUUAGUACUCCGCUUCUUGAGUUUGUGAGAAUGAAUUCUGUACUUAAAAUACAGUUCCAGUAGCCGAGUAUAUGAGAUACUUCAGAACAAUGUCGGGGUGUCAUCCAGUAGAAACUCAGUUUCUGGAUUUAGAACUUUUUGCACUGGCCAAGGUGCGUCUAGACCUUUCAUUCAACUCGGAACUUCAAUUUAUAUACCAAAACUUUCCGAUUACUUUGAUAUAAUCCACUGAAAGCCAUGUUGAUGUCAUUGUUUCACACACAAUUGUUCGCGAAUUUCAGAUUCUAUAGCAUGGAAAGACUAAUCUUUCUACUAUGCAAUCACUAGUUCCUAAGAUGGAAAAGUUAAAUAAAGUCCCUGUUUUGAGAAAUUUGGUGAUCUAUCAGUUUGUCAACUUUGAGAUAUGCUUAAUCACGACCUUUAUCAUCAAACUUAAAAAUAUCAGUCCCGGUACUACUUUGGCAGUUAGGAGUAUAGGUCACCUACUGGUAGGUAAUGUCACUGCAAACCUUUUAGGAAUCUGUACUUUUCUCUCUGAUGCUAGUUAGUUAAAAAAAUAGAUGCCAUGAAUGUGUCUUAGUAUGUACAUUUGCAAUUCAGAUAUGUUUUUGAGUUGUUUUUGUUUUGUUUUUACUUGUGGGUUGAAUCUCUGUUCUUUCUUUCUCUGCUCCUUAAAAACUUUUCUGGCUUCCAAUAAUAUAGAGGCUCUUUUUCAUUAUAGGGAAGGAACCUACUGAUUGGUCUUUCUGACUCUAUGCUUAAUAUCAAAUUUUGUUAAUACUAGCAUUAUGAUUCUUCAUUGUAUAUCAAAUUUUAUUUCCGUAUCCAACGAUUUUCUGGCUUCAUUAGAUUUGUCAACAAAGAAGUGCGUGCCCUGCACCUCAAAGGAUAUGCGACCUAUGACUGAAGAAUCAGCAAGUAAUCUACUCCCGAAGGUUUGUGGUUCGCUGUAUUAUUAAUCACUUAAAGUAUAUGUGUUUCUUCUCUAAGGUAUGUAUUUGGCUUAGGUGGAUGGAUGGAAUUUGAUAAGUGAAAGUGGUUUGUUGAAACUGAAAAAGUCAUGGAGAGUUAAAUCCUUUACUAAAGGAUUGGAAAUGUUUAAGCUCGUAGCUGAUGUUGCCGAAGCGGAAGGUAUCUUAAGCCUCUUUUCUGAUUUCUAGAUCCCUGCAUAUAUAUAUAUAUAUACAAAGCUGUUCAGGUGCGGACGUCCACACCAAAGUUUUUGGUGCGGAUUUCUAUUUUUUGCACCACUUCCCGAUCGAAUUUCCUCGAAUUUCCUCAAAUUUCCUUCUAGACAUAUCUAGAUCAUCUCUGCAAAAUUUCAGCCAAUUUGGUGAUCGUUAAGGCCCUCAAACUUGCGUUUUUCUGUUAUAUACCUGAACCGGACAGAAUACAGGCCGUCGAUUUGUUUUUCGAUUUUGAGAGCCUUAACGAUCACCAAAUUGGCUGAAAUUUUGCAGAGAUGAUCUACACAAGAUGAUCUAGAUAUGUCUAGAAGGAAGUUUGAGGAAAUUCGAUCGGGAAGUGGUGCAAAAAUGGAAAUCCGCACCUGAUCAGCUGUGUAUAUAUAUAUAUAUAAUGAAUUUAAGCUGAAAUAGUUUAGAACAUAACUAAUCUGGAUUAGCAUCAUGAAUGUGUUUGUUGCAGGUCAUCAUCCAGACCUUCAUCUUGUUGGAUGGAAUAAUGUGACCAUUGAGAUAUGGACACAUGCAAUUGGUAAGGAGAUCCUAUGAAUGAAGUAACGUGAUGUAGUUGCACUUGUCUUUUGAUGAUAUUGUAUUGUUGUGCAUUAGAUUCUCUCUGAGAGUGUAGGUUUUCAUGUCUUCUAUAUUAUUAAUUUCAAUGUCCGUGUACCUUUCAUGUCCCGGACCAAUAAUUUGUCUGAGAUACAGCUUAUAAUCCUUAUAUAGAGUGAUUAUUCCUGAAGUUUUGACUGGUAAAUAGUCCGAUUAAUUCCUGAAUAAAUCUGACCUGCUGAUCGAAUACUUAAUUUGCUGUAAAUUUGCACCAAUUUCAAAAAUUUGCCAGCUGGAGAUUCAACUUACCAGAUUUUCUUCCAUACUGAUUUUGUAUAUUACGUUUACUGAAUGAUAAUAAUUCUUGAUAUGCAUUGUGCAGGUGGAUUGACAGAGAAUGACUUCAUACUUGCUGCUAAAAUCAAUGAACUUGAUAUGCAAAACCUGAUGAGGCGGAAAACUACUGAUUGAGCUGUGGGGAAAGCAUACCUAUGGAAACGGUUGAUAUCGUCACUUGUUCCUGAAAAGAAAAAUACGUAUAUCUUUUGGUGUAAAAUCAAGCAUCUGAGGAUGUACUGGUACAACAAGAAAUUCUUGCAAGUGUAUGAAGAUAUAUGAGAUUGCUGUUUCUUUUAUGCUUAAAGAUUGGCUAGAGUGAUAACUAACGAAAACUUCAUGAAUGACACUUAAAAAGGGCUGCAGCAAAAUCCUAUAUGGACAGAGAACAAAUUUAGCUAAGAAAUGAAAAUGCCAGCUUCAAAAGAAAAGGACAUGCAAAGAAUCACCAGGAAUACAAAUGCAUUAUACUCUACGAGCUAGUUCCAUCCAUGGUGCCACUCGACCCCUGUUUAAAAGCAACUGCCUUGUCCACAUCUGAGCCUUAAGACUAUACUGAGUAUACUCUUCACCAUCUUCACCUCCACUCUGCCACAGAAACUCAACACCAUAGUCCUUAGCAAGGUUUGCAAUCUCUUCCACACCACCAAUAUCACUGUCGACUUCAAGUUCUCCACACUUGCCAAGAUCCAAAACCUCAAGCUGUUUGCAGCCUUUCACUAGCGUGACGAGACUGUUCCCUUCAAAAUGACACUCCUCGAACCACAAGUACUUCAGAUUCGGCAAUGAUUCCACAAUAUUGCAGAUGUUUACCUUGUAAGCAUGAGCAAUUCUGAGACCUACAAAAUGCUUGCAGUGAAUACCAAUCUGCUUCAGGAUAUCGUCCAUAAUAGUUUCACGAGAAAAAACACCAACCCCCCUUGGAAACAACUCGUACAUCCUUUUCUUAUCCAAGUCAGCACGGAAUGUGCGAAUCUUCUUGAGGUUGCCACCCAAAUGCAAUUGCUCCAACAGCUUCCACUUCCCAAUCAGUUUCGCAAUAACCCUAGAAUGGUUAAAAAGUACUACAUCAUCUGGCAAGCUCAAAACCCUAAUCCCGGGACACGAACCCGAAACAUACCUCAAUGUUUCUUCAUUUAUAAAGCCAGGAAAUUUGAUCUCAACAACCUUCCCAUGACUCCGAGCCACUACCAUCCUCACAAAAGCAGUGAUGGAGAAACUAGUGUUCUUUUUAACUUGGCAUAAACCAACAAACUUGUAGUAAAAUGGCUCCAGACCAAGACUAUUGGGUUCGAGCAGUGGUAAAAACUCAGGGAAUGAGAGGGUUUGCCAGCACAAAGGAUCUAGGGUUGCUUCAUGCCAUGAUUUGCAGACAAAAGGGACACUCACAAGAAGUGAUUCCAUUCCGACUCUUCCAAACACAUUGAUUAAGCAGUCCAUCUCUAACUCCGCCCACUUUCUUCUUCCUGCAGUUUCUUUCAUUAUCUUACUUAGUGAUCGGAACUUCCGUUUUCUUCCCACGACGGGCGGUCCUCUCCGUCGAGCUGCUCUUUCUCCGAUGUUGGCCAUACUAAACCCUAAACGCUCAAAGAUAUAUAGAAGUAUAGCACCAAAAGAAAAAGAAAAAAAUAUAUAUAGAAGUAGGGAUCGAUAUAUAUAUACUGUAAUAUCGAUGAGUGAAGACAAUAGAAACUCACAUCAAUUAGGGUACUCACAUCCUAUUAUAUGAUUCUGUUAGGAUCAGAAUCUAUUUAUAAAAGGAAAACUAGGAAAUCAAAGGAAAAAAACUAAACAACAUUCAUAUCACUCGUUUAUAUCUAAUAAGAGAAGUUUACAGCCUUUAUAUAUCCUACAAAUCUAAAAUAACUACUCUAAUAACUACCAUACUUGGACCGAAUGGGCCUUGAGUUUACUACAACAAGUCUGGGCUAGGGGUCAUCAUUUGGCCCGCGGUCCUAAAAGCAUGUGGGCGGCCCGUCAGCCGGAAUGGCCAAAACCCGGUCCGACCCAUAGAAAAGUUCAUCUCGGCCCGGCCCAUAGGGCAUGAGACCGGGUUAGAAUGGAGGGUUCAAAGCCUCGGCCCGGCCCGUUACAUGCCCAUCAACGCCCGCCAAGCCUGACUCUAAAAAGCCCUCCCCAAAGCCCUAUCAAUUGUUUUAUAAAUAUUUUUAUGGAGUUAUUAGUUAAAUAUGUGAACUAAUUAAUGCAUUAAGUCAUAUUUUAUUUUGAUUUUUUAUUACAUUUAGUUCAACCAUUAACAAAUCUUAAACUUCCAUUAGCAAACACGUGCUCUUGUGGUCUGGAGCCGCUUGAUUCAGAUGAAUAAAGUUUAUUUAAGACCUUCAUGUAUAUCUCUGAUCCCAUAGAGAUGUUAUUAUGACCACAUUCAUAGGCUGCAUGUUCAGUUAUUCGGAAACUACCAAACUGACAAAGUAGUGGAGUUCAAUGAUAUCCAUUACAAGAGCAUAUCUCAUCGUAGUUGAUCCCAGUGCGUGUCAGUGAGAGACCUUAUACCAUAAGGUGAGUUUAAACUCUUGUUCUCACUACACUAUCUAACAAAGACAUAUUUGAUAGAGUUUAGUUUGCAGUGUCAGAGAUUUCACGCAUAUCUCUCUCAGCCUACUGGGUUCUUCAUCAUACCUUGUAGAUUUACCGACACAAAUCCAAUGGGCUAAUCAAUAGCAAGUAAAUCAUUAGAGCAAAGCAAAUCGGUAAAUUAGAUUUUUAUCAUGUAAAUAAGAUGUUUCUGUUAAUAUAUUCCCUCAGAUUCAUUAUAUCAUGUAAAUGUAUACUCUACGAAGUAGAUACAAAGUAGAGAUAUCUCAGAUUUAUCAUAUCAUGUAAAUGUGUUCUCCAUUAAGCAGACUAAGACACUAAUAAAGAUUAUGUUAUAGACUGAUAAUCAAAUCGCAAAAUCAUAUCAAGUAAAUGUGUUCUCUCUAUUAAGCACACCUUAAGAGAGAGGAUCCAUGAGCAAUGCUCCUCCAAGUGCUUAAGAGUUUAGAAGGAUGAGAGUAAUCUGCAUCACCAAUGUUACUGCCAAUAAAAUAUUUAUCAUAUGUCUAAUCUUUCCUUAUGUGGCGACAAUGACUUAUUUGUUCAAACCCUAUAUGGGCAAAACCACUGAACAGGGGCAACAACCGUAUUAGCACAAACCCACAAAGCAACAUUUCUUUACCUAUAAGAUAAACCAACGAGGCAGCAAUGGUUUUUUUUUUUGCAAUCUUUAUAGGAUAAACCGACGAGCCAACAAUGGCUUGUAAAUUUACAAUAUUUACAAUAUAACACGACAAAGGUAACAAUGAAAUUUUUUGCAAUCUUUACGUGAUAUAUUGACAAGGCAGCAAUAGAUAGUAAGCAAUCUUUAUAAGAUAAACCGAUAAAGCAACAAUGGCUUGUAAAUUUGUAAUCUUUACAAGAUAAACAGACAAGGCAGCAAAAUAAACCAUUUGUGUUGACCGAGGAGGCAACAAUUUCAGUUGUCUCCCCCAACAAUGCUUUAAUCUCAUAGGCAACAGUCAGGGACCGAUUCUCACAAGUCUUUUCAAAUCUUUCAUAUACCCUCAUUUCGAUGAGAUCAAAUGGCAGCCUUGUCACAAUUAAUUGUUACCUUGUAACAAUAAUUAAGGGACUGAUGAAAGAAGACACCCCCUAGAAUUUGAGGCAUGACAGCACGAAACCCAGUCAAAAAUGGUUCCUCAACCUCAAGAAAAGAAGGAGCACCAAUAUUUUGAAUUGAGAUUUCACGCAUGUCUCUCUAGAUUACUAGUUCUUCUUCAUACCUUGUAGAUUUACCGACACAAAUCCAAAGGGCCAAUCAAUAGCAAGUAAAUCAUUAAGGCAAGCAAAUCGGUAAAUCAAAUUUUUGUCAUGUAAAUCAGAUGUUUAUGUUACUGUAUUCCCUCAGAUUCAUUAUAUCAUGUAAAUGCAUUAUCUACGAAGUAGAUACAAAAUAGACACAUCUCAGAUUCAUCAUAUCAUGUAAAUGUGUUCCCAUUAAGCACACCUUAGGAGAGAGGAUCCAUAAGCAAUGCUCCUCCAAGUGCUUGAGAGUCUGCAUCACUGGUGUUACUGCCAGUACUGUUAGUAAAGUAUUUAUCAUAUGUCUAAAGGGGCAAAAACCGUAUCAGCACAAACCCACAAAGCAACAUUUCUCAACCUAUAAGAUAAACCAAAGAGGCAGCAAUGGCUUUUUUGCAAUCUUUAUAGGAUAAACCGACGAGGCAACAAUGGCAUGUAAAUUUGAAAUCUUUACAAGAUAAACCGACAGAGGCAACAAUAAUUAAGGGACUGAUGAAAGAAGAAACCACUCAGAAUUCGGGGCAGGACAACAUGAAACCCUAGUUAAAUAUGGUUCCUCAACCUCAAGAAAAGAGGGAGCACCAAUAUUUUGAUAUGAGAUUUCACGCAUGUAUCGCUCAGAUUCUUACUGGUUUCUUCUUCAUCAUAUUUAAAGGACUAAUCGAGAUCACAUCACAGGGACCAAUUGCCACUAAUCUUUUCAAAUCUUUCAUGCACGCUCAUUACGAUGGGAUCAAAUGGCAGCCUUAUCACAAGUAACUGUUACCAUGUAACAAUAAUUAAGGGACUAACAAAAGAAUAAACCCCUCAGAAUUCGGGGUAGGACAUCAUAAAACCCUAGUAAAAAAAGGUUCAUCAACCUCAAGAAAAGAAGGAGCACCAAUAUUUUGACAUGAGAUUUCAUAGAUGUCUCACUCAGAUUCUUACUGGUUUCUUCUUCAUCAUACUUAAAGGACUAAUCAAGAUCACAUCACAGAGACCAAUUGCCACUAAUCUUUUCAAAUCUUUCAUAUACGCUCAUUUCGAUGAGAUCAAAUGGCAGCUUUAUCACAAGUGAUUGUUACCAUGUAACAAUAAUUAAGGGACUGAUGAAAGAAUAAACACCUCAGAAUUCAGGGUAGGAUAGCAUGAAACCCUAGUCAAAAAUGGUUCAUCAACCUCAAGAAAGGAGGGAGCACCAAUAUUUUGACAUGAGAUUUCAUGCAUGUCUCGCUCAAAUUCUUACUGGUUUCUUCUUCAUCAUACCCAAAGGACUAAUCAAGAUCACAUCACAGGGACCAAUUGCCCCUAAUCUUUUCAAAUCUUUCAUGUACGCUCAAUUUGAUAGGAUCAAAUGGCAGCCUUAUCACAAGUAAUUGUUACUAUGUCACAAUAAUUAAGGGACUGAUGAAAGAAGAAACCCCUCAGAAUUCGGGGCAGGACAUCAUGAAACCCUAGUAAAAAAUGGUUCAUCAACCUCAAGAAAAGAGGAAGCUCCAAUAUUUUAACAUGAGAUUUCACGCAUGUCUUGCCCACAUUCUUACUAGUUUCUUCUUCAUCAUACCCAAGGGACUAAUCGAGAUCACAUCACAUGGACCAAUUACCGCUAAUCUUUUCAAAUCUCUCAUGUACGCUCAUUUCAAUGGAAUCAAAUGGCAGUUUAUCACAAGUAAUUGUUACCAUGUAACAAUAAUUACGGGACUGACGAAAGAAUAAACCCCUCAGAAUUCGGGGUAGGACAUGAUAAAACCCUAGUAAAAAAUGGUUCAUCAACCUCAAGAAAAGAGGGAGCACCAAUAUUUUGACAUGAGAUUUCAUAGAUGUCUCGCUCAGAUUCUUACUAGUUUCUUCUUCAUCACACUUAGAGGAUUAAUCAUGAUCACAUCACAGGGAAGAAUUGCCACUCAUCUUUUCAAAUCUUUCGUGUACCCUCAAUUUGAUAGGAUCAAAUGGCAGCCGUAUCAUAAGUAAUUGUUACCAUGUCACAAUAACUAAGGGACUAUGAAAGAAGAAACCCCUCGGAAUUCAGGGCAGGACAAUUUGAAAGCCUAGUCAAAAAUGGUUCCUCAACCUCAAGAAAAGUGGGAGCACCAAUAUUAAUUUUGACAUGAGAUUUCAAGCAUGUCUCGCUCAAAUUCUUACUAGUUUUUUCUUCAUCAUACCCAAGGGACUAACCCGAGAUCACAUCACAUGGACCCAUUGCCACUAAUCUUUUGUGUACCCUUAAUUUGACAUGAGAUUUCAUAGAUGUCUCGCUCAGAUUCUUACUAGUUUCUUCUUCAUCACACUUAGAGGACUAAUCAUGAUCACAUCACAGGGACCAAUUGCCACUCAUCUUUUCAAAUCUUUCGUGUACCCUCAAUUUGAUAGGAUCAAAUGGCAACCUUAUCAUAAGUAAUUGUUACCAUGUAACAAUAAUUAAGGGACUGACGAAAGAAUAAACCCCUCAGAAUUCGAUACACGACAUCAUAGAACCCUAGUCAAAAAUGGUUUAUCAACCUCAAGAAAAGAGGAAGCACCAAUAUUUUGACAUGAGAUUUCACGCUUGUCUCGCUCAGAUUCUUACUGGUUUCUUUUUCGUCAUACCCAAGGGACUAAUCGAGAUCACAUCACAGGGACCAAUUGCCACUAAUCUUUUCAAAUCUUUCAUGUACCCUCAAGUUGAUGGUAUCAAAUGGCAGCCUUAUCACAAGUGAUUGUUACCAUGUAAUAAUAAUUAAGGGACUGAUAAAAGAAGAAACCCCUUAGAAUUCAGGGCAGGACAGUCAUGAAACCCUAGUCAAAAAUGGUUCCUCAACCUCAAGAAAAGAGGGAGCACCAAUAUAUUUUGACAUGAGAUUUCAAGCAUGUCUCGCUCAGAUUCUUACUGGUUUCUUCUUCAUCAUACCCAAGGGACUAAUCGAGAUCACAUCACAGCGACCAAUUGCCACUAAUCUUUUCAAAUCUUUCAUGUACGCUCAUUUCGAUGAGAUCAAAUGGCAGCUUUAUCACAAAUAAUUGUUACCAUGUAACAAUAAUUAAGGGACUAAAGAAAGACGAAACCCCUCAAAAUUCGGGGUAGGACAUCAUGUAACCCUAGUAAAAAAUGGUUUAUCAACCUCAAGAAAAGAGGGAGCACCAAUAUUUUGACAUGAGAUUUCAUAGAUGUCUCGCUCAGAUUCUUAAUGGUUUCUUCAUCAUCAUACUUAAAGGACUAAUCAAGAUCACAUCACAGGACCAAUUGCCACUAAUCUUUUCAAAUCUUUCAUGUACCCUCAUUUCGAUGGGAUCAAAUGGCAGCUUUAUCAAAAGUAAUUGUUACUAUGUAACAAUAAUUAAGGAACUGAUGAAAGAAUAAACCCCUCAGAAUUCAGGGCAGGACAACAUGAAACCUUAGUCAAAAAUGGUUCCUCAACCUCAAGAAAAGAGGAAGCACCAAUAUUUUGACAUGAGAUUUCACGCAUGUCUCGCUCAGAUUCUUACUGGUUUCUUCUUCAUCAUACCCAAGGGACUAAUCGAGAUCACAUCACAUGGACCAAUUGCCACUAAUCUUUUCAAAUCUUUCAUAUACACUCAUUUCGAUAGGAUCAAAUGGCAGCCUUAUCACAAGUAAUUGUUACCAUGUGACAAUAAUUAAGGAACUGAUGAAAGAAGAAACCCCUCAGAAUUCGGUGUAGGACAUCAUGAAACCCUAGUCAAAAAUGGUUCAUCAACCUCAAAAAAAGAGGAAGCAACAAUAUUUUGACAUGAGAUUUAACGCAUGUUUCGCUCAGAUUCUUACUGAUUUCUUCUUUAUCAUACCCAAGGAUUAAAAUCUCUGCGAUAUAUCCUCCGAUAUCUCCCUUUUUCGAAGGACCGAUAUAUCUUUAGGGGUCAAUAUCUUAUCUUCCACCGUAUCUACGAUAUUUCCCCGAUAUUUAGGAAAUAUCUCCGACAUUUAUGAUAUUUUCGAUAUAUCACUGACAUAUUAAAAAAAUAUUUGUAAAAAAUUGAAAUGUUAUCCGGAAGAGAAGUANNNNNNNNNNNNNNNNNNNNGCAUGUCUCACUCAGAUUCUUACUGGUUUCUUCUUCAUCAUACCCAUGGGACUAAUCGAGAUCACAUCACGGGGACCAAUUGUCACUAAUCUUUUCAAAUCUCAGAUUCUUACUGGUUUCUUCUUCAUCAUACCCAAGGGACUAAUCGAGAUCACAUCACGGGGACCAAUUGCCACUAAUCUUUUCAAAUCUUUCAUGUACUCUCAUUUCGAUGGGAUCAAAUGGCAGCCUUAUCACACAUAAUUGUUACCAUGUAACAAUAAUUAAGGGAUUGAUGAAAGAAGAAACCCCUCAAAUUUCAAGGCAGGGCAACAUGAAACCCUAGUAAAAAAUGGUUCGUCAACCUCAAGAGAAGUGGGAGCACUAAUAUUAAUUUUGACAUGAGAUUUCAUGCAUGUCUCGCUCAAAUUCUUACUGGUUUCUUCUUCAUCAUACCCAAGGACUAAUCGAGAUCACAUAAGGGAUUGAUGAAAGAAGAAACCCCUCAGAAUUCAGGGCAUGACAACAUGAAACCCUAUUAAAAAAUGGUUCGUCAACCUCAAGAAAAGUGGGAGCACUAAUAUUAAUUUUGACAUGAGAUUUCAUGCAUGUCUCGCUCAGAUUAUUACUGGUUUCUUCUUCAUCAUACCCACGGGACUAAUCGAGAUCACAUCACAGGGACUAAUUGCCACUAAUCUUUUGAAAUCUUCCAUGUACCCUCAUUUCGAUGGGAUCAAAUGGCAGCCUUAUCACAAGUAAUUGUUACCAUGUAACAAUAAUUAAGGGACUGAUGAAAGAAGAAACCCCUCAGAAUUCGGGGUAGGACAUCAUGAAACCCUAGUCAAAAAUAGUUCAUCAACCUCAAGAAAAGAGAAAGCACCAAUAUUUUGAUAUGAGAUUUCACGCAUGUCUCGCUCAUAUUCUUACUGGUUUCUUCUUCAUCAUACUAUUAGCCAAAAAUCCACCAAGUAUAAGGGAUACAAGUAAUAGUAUAGGGAUUUAAGGAAGGUUGUCGAACCGACGAGGAUUGGAUUCUUUUCACUAGCUAGGGAGUUAACCUUAGGAGAGCUAGAAUGGGCAAAUGUAUAAUCACAAACCUAAACACACAAGAAAAUCUAGGCUCAUGGUGAGUAUGUGCAACAUGGAGUAGUGAUUUGAUUUUGGGUAUUUGAAGUAGUUAACUAAACUAAACUAGAUGCUCAAAUGUAAACUAAAUUACUCUAAACUAAACUAGCGGGAUAAUGGAUGAAUGAAGUUAGGAUUUGAAUUGUCUACCACUAACCUCCCUUGCAAGUAUUGAUGCAAAUCAAAAUGAAUGAUGCUAAGUUAAUCAACCAAUUUCUCUCCUUGCAUCCCUCGCGGGUAUGACAAGGGACAUGCUCUUUUUGUGGUAUCAAGCAACCCCUCUCGGGUAUAGUACUUAACUACUGUCAUGCAUUUCAAUCUUGUUAGGCAUCUAAUGCAUUACCUUAAGUGCAUAAAGUUUGGAGAUGAAGAAACUAUGCAAACCAACCAAGCUUAUCUUUAUCAAGCAACCCCUCUCGGGUGUAAUACUUAACUACUGUCAUGCAUUUCAAUCCGGUUAGGAAUCUAAUGCAUUACCCUAAGUGCAUAAAGUUUGGAGAUGAAGAAACUAUGCAAAUCAACCAAGCUUAUCUCUAAGUGAUUGUAAUUCACAACCCCUACAUACACACCUAAUGUGCUUUCAUGCUUUAACAUUCAAAGGUUACCAAGCUCUAAACAUCAUAUCAUAUCAUGACAAACACACAUACUCAAAGUGGUAAAUUCUAAGCAUAUGCAUUCAACUCUUGAACUAGCAUGUAGGAAUGUUAACUAAAAUUGCAUCAAAUCAUAAUAUAACAUCAAUCCAUACAAGAUUGGUUAGUGUUUUCAACCCUAACCCCAACAAAGUACUACUCACUCAUAAUUACAUAAACAAACUUCAUAAUCAAAUUAAACAUCAAAAUAGAUCUAGAGUUUAAGAGAGAGAGAGUUGGCUUAGUGGUGUGUUGAUUGAUCCCCAAGCUCACGUCUUGGUGGUACGUGGUGGUGAUGAAGGUGAUUUCCUCUCCUUCUUGCUCAUGUUGUUUGAUGACAAGAGAUGGUGAAGCUUGAUCUAUGCUUUGUGUGAAUAGGUGGAGUGGAUGGAGAAAAUGGUAUAGAUAAGAGAAUGGAGAAAUGGUGUAGUGGUGGUGGUGUUAAUGGAGGUUUGGGUAAGAGAUGGUGGUAGUGAUGGAGGAGAUAGAGUAGAUUGGGGGAGGAAGAGGAAAAAGAUGGGUUUGGAUUUUGGGAGAGGGAGAUGGAGGUUUUGUGGUGGAAAAGAGAGAAAAAGGUAGAGAGUGGUGAAUGGGUGGAUGAUGAAUGUUGUAGUGGAUAGAUGUAUGUUUAUUAUAUAGAAGAAAGAUAAGUGAAAAUGGGGGAAUGAGAAAGUCAAAACAGCCCCCUUCCCUAAUUCAACUGUAAGGGAGAAGGAAGAGUGUGAGAGUGUCCAUGAAUUGCCAAAAAAAAGAUAAAAAUGUAGGGAAAUAAUCGCAUAGGUUAGAGUAGGCAAUGAUGAUGUUUAAAGCAUGGUGAUGUCUAUUAUCCAAAGAGUAAUAGAAUGAAUUUCAUGUUGUUACUCAAUCACCAUUAAUCUCCUUGCUCCUCCUUUAUGGUGACUGGAAAAGACAUGACACCACCAAAAGAGGUGGUGAGCCGUCAUUUGUGCAGUCAAUAGUGGUGGUUCGCCGGAAUCCGAAAAUCUACGUUUUGCUUCACAUUGGACCGUCAUUUUUCCUAGCUCCGAUUCUCCAUGUUAAUGCCAAAAAUGCAUAUUUUCAUCACUCUUGCAAUAUUCCUAGAUAAAUAGAAAAUGAUUUAGUGAAAGAAAAAAUGAACUCAAAAACAAGGCAAAUUCAAUAUUUAGGGGAAUGAAAAUGUGUGUAAAUUAUGGUCUAACACAUACCCAAUGGACUAAUCGAGAUCACAUCACAGGGACCAAUUGCCACUAAUCUUUUCAAAUCUUUCAUGUACUCUCAUUUCGAUGGGAUCAAAUGGUAGCCUUAUCACAAGUAAUUGUUAUCAUGUAACAAUAAUUAAGAGACUGAAGAAAGAAUAAACCCCUCAGAAUUCAGGGCAGGACAGCAUGAAACCUUAGUCAAAAAUGGUUCCUCAACCUCAAGAAAAGAGGGAGCACCAAUAUUUUGACAUGAGUUUUCACGCAUAUCUCGCUCAGAUUCUUACUGGUUUCUUCUUCAUCAUAUUUAAAGGACUAAUCGAGAUCAAAUCACAGGGACCAAUUGCCACUAAUCUUUUCAAAUCUUUCAUGUACCCUCAUAUCUAUGGGAUCAAAUGGCAGCCUUAUCAAGUAAUUGUUACCAUGUAACAAUAAUUAAGGGAUUGAUGAAAGAAGAAACCCUCAGAAUUGGGCAGGACAACAUGAACCUUAGUCAAAAAUAGUUCCUCAACCUCAAGAAAAGAGGGAGCACCAAUAUUUUGACAUGAGAUUUCAGGCAUGUCUCGCUCAGAUUCUUACUGGUUUCUUCUUCAUCAUACCCAAGGGACUAAUCGAGAUCACAUCACACGAACCAGUUGCCACUAAUCUUUUCAAAUCUUUCAUGUACCCUCAUUUUGAUAGGAUCAAAUGGCAGUCUUAUCACAAGUAAUUGUUACCAUGUAACAAUAAUUAAAGGACUGAUGAAAGAAGCAAUUGUUACCAUGAAUGUUGUUUAGCAGUGUUUCUUGUGAUCGGAGAACCCCUCAGAAAAAUCUUAGGGGUUACUUGAAAGAAGAAAGAUAGAACUAAAAGAAGUAACCCCUUAGAAACCAUGAAAGUUAUGCAGGGUUACUUGUGAUCGAAACCGUAAAAAUCUUAGUGAUCAGAACUUCCGUUUUCUUCCCAUGACGGGCGGUCCUCUCCGGCGAGCUACUCUUUCUCCAAUGUUGGCCAUACUAAACCCUAAACGCUCAAAAAUAUAUAGAAGUAUAGCACCAAAAGAAAAAGAAAUAUAUAUUUUUUUUUUGGUCAAGAAAAGAAAAAUAUAUAUAGAGAAGUAGGGAUCAAUAUAUAUACUGUAAUAUCGAUGAGUAAAGACAAUAGAAACUCACAUCAAUUAGGGUUCUCACAUCCUAUUAUAUGAUUCUGUUAGGAUCAGAAUCCAUUUAUAAAAGGAAAACUAGGAAAUCAAAGGAAAUAAACUAAACAACAUUCAUAUCACUUAUCCAUAUCUAAUAAGAGAAGUUUACAGCCUUUAUAUAUCCUACAAAUCUAAAAUAACUACUCUAAUAACUACCCUAUUUGGACCGAAUGGGCCUUGAGUUUACUACAACAAGUCUGGGCUAGGGGUCAUCAUUUGGCCCGCGGGCCUAAAAGCCCGUGGGCAGCCCAUCGUCCGGAAUGGCCAAAGCUUGGCCGACCCAUAGAAAAGCCCAUCUCGGCCCGGCCCUUAGGGCAUAAGGCCGGGCUAGGGCGGAGGGUUCAAAACCUCGGCCCUGCCUGUUACAUGCCCAUCAAAGCCCGCCCGGCCUGACCCUAAAAAGCCCUUUCAAUUGUUUUAUAAAUAUUUUUAUGGAGUUAUUAGUUAAAUAUGUGAACUAAUUAAUGCAUUAAGUCAUAUUUUAUUUUGAUUUUUUAUUACAUUUAGUUUAAUCAUUAACAAAUCUUAACUUUUUUUUUAUAAUUUUUUUUUUAUUUGAUAAAAUUCUAUUAGAUAUAUGUAUAUAAUAGGCCGACCGGCCUGGCCUAUCUAAAAAGUCCGACUCGACCCAUCUAAAAAAGCCGGCCUGACCUGGCCUAUAAGCCUGUAAGGCCUGGACAUGCGGGUUUUGAUAAUUUUUUAAGUUAGUCCCAUCCUGGCUCGGCUCUAAUAAAAAAUAAAAUAAAUAAAUUAAAUAAAAAAAACAUAAUUGAGGCCCGACCCGAGCCCCUAGCCAGGCGGGCGUUUUUUGAUGAUCAGGCUAUGCCCAGUACAUAAAAAGGCUGUGAAAUACAUCACCUACGUACAUAUGUGAAAGAGGAAUACGAGUUAGUAUCCUAACAGAUUCAGUCACGUUCUCUUCAGUGGGAUUGAGUUGGGCAGUUCUAUCUCAAUUACAGGGAUUUUAACGUACCAAUUAUAUUUAAGGAAACAGAGAGAGUGGUUAAAAAGGGAGAAGGCCCAAGUCCAAGACCCUAGCCCAACUAGAUCCCAGCAGCCGCAAGAAUGGCCGAAAACUAAUCGGAAGAAAGUAGAAACUAAAUAUAUAGUAAUAAAUAAAUUUCCUUUCAGCAGAUGUGCCCUUAAUACUGGAGACAAAGAAAUUUACCGGCACUCUUUAUCAUUACACAAUUAACCAACUGAGAUAUAUAGCACAAAACAUGAAAACUACACGGUGGUCGACGGAUCCGAAAUCCCAUCAUGCAUGAACUUCACUAAUAGUUGAAGCUAGACUUGCUUGCUGUAGCACUCUUCUUAGUGUAGACAGACUUGGUGACCUUGAGCUGUGUUUUGUACUCGGUGGUGUAUCCCUGAGUUUUGUCGACAUACUUGUCUAUCGAGGUGUACUUGGCCUCUUGUUUGUAGCCGGACUGCCCACUGCGGUUGUCCACGAACUCUCCUUCCUUGUAACUUUUAGUGAAGUUACUUGAAGCCCCACAGUACUCGUCGUUGUACGAUGACUUCACCUGGCUUUGCAUUUCGUCGGCGUUGAUGUUUCUCGCCGGAGCAACAGUUAUGAAGCCGCAAUAAGCCUUUUUCGUCAUUCUGUAACUAUAUGAAGACGUGGGUUGUGAUCAUAUGCAAAGAGGGUCUUGUCUUUUAUAUGGUAACAAGUCGGAACAUGGAUAUUAACUAUGAUUUAUGAAGAUGUGGGAAUCAAGAACGUAUAUUGUGAGGAGAGGAGGGGUCUUUUAUCUGUUUGUUUUGAGAACAAAGGUGUAAAUGUCAUUAUCGGUUAUGGUGAAAGAGACCAUCCAACUUUCCCAGUUCUUCAGGUGAGAAAGGAGGGGAAGUUGUUUAACCAAUACUAAUACUAAUGCAUGUCAUACAAGUGUUGUUUUAAGGUUUUACAGUGCAAUGUUUUUUCGUAUACCUAUUUUCAGUUUGUCCUUUAAUGGACUCCUAAAUCUCAAGAAUAAUAAGUACCAUUUAUAGUGCAAACCUAAAGGCUAAAGCUAUGAUUUCUUUAAUUUUUUGAAAUCCUGAAAAAAGUGAAUUAUCAUACUGAACAUAUAUAAGUUCAAUUGUCUGAUAGGAAUUUGCUGCCAGCAGAUAAAGGUAGCGAUCUUUGAAUUGAAACGGCCGGCAUAAAUGCAAAUAUGAUGAUUUAGCAGCUAAUAAGAAUAUAGAGAAACUAUGGUUCGUGCAUGCAGCAACAAAUGAGUUCAAAAACCAAAGCAUGUCUCGACUUUAAUUUUGGUGCUGGCUUUUGCUGGGUCUGUUUUAUCAUUGCUGGGUAUAACCAUUACAAAACAAGGAUGGGUUUGGAAAAUACGUAUAAUCUUUUACGCCUUAGGUGUAUUUAGAUAUUUGUGGGUAUUUAGAAGAACGAAAAGAGAUCGAUGCUGUAGAGCAAGACUAGUUGUAUAACAUUAAGAAAACAUUACUAAGAAAAAAAGGAUUACACAUAGUAAACAAAAGCACGUACGUAACAUAAAUAGAUAUAGAGCAGUGGAUACCAUAGAUCUACUACAGUCUAUUCCCAGGACUCUAACCCAAAGAGACUUCCGUUAAUUCCUUCCCCUACAUCAUUGGAGAUACACUAUUAAUUAACCAUGCCCGCAAUUUGGACAACAGCAUCGGCAGCUGCAACAACAGGUGAAAGAAGAGGUAUGAGCGUUCCGACUCCGAGCACUGGAAGAAUAACAGCAGCUACUGAUGCAGCAGCUGAAAUCCAACGGAAAACCGAAACAAAAGCCCGAAACCACGACAUUGUGACUCAAGGACGACUUCAACUUUACACUCUAGAUUAGUAGACUGAUAGUGAGUCUGAAACUGUAGGAAAGGCUGUUGAAUGUAGGAGGUUUGCGCACUAUAUUUAUAGCAGGUAAUUUAGAUGGGAACCUGUGCAGCUGAGCUCUAUCGGUCUCUUCGUUUAGUGUACCUCUAAUGAACACAUUUAAUUACUUCGAUUCUUUAAAGAUUAACGGCAUGCGCGCGCAUGCGUCUUCAUGCACUGUGUUUUGGAAAUAUGAGACUUUCAUGACAUAAUUACUGCUUCUAGUUUAUUGUGAACGUCAUAAUAUUAUAUUUGUUGCCUUACCCACAGUUUUAUUUCCCAAUUUCCUCUCUUGUUUUUCCAAUUCGCCGGUGAAGAUCAAUUUGGAUUAUUUUCAGAUUUAACAAGAUUGAUUGAUAUCCCUGACGAUGUUUCUAGUUUUCUUUUCCUUUCUCUUACUGGGUUUGUUAUUACUAGCUGAUUUUUAUCGCUGAAAUAGGUUAAUCUCUACACCUCUGCAAGACUGCAACAAACCCAGCAGCACCCUGAUAAGAAUUUCUCUAUUGGGUCUCCUUCUACACCCUGAUGACAACUUUCAACAUUUAAUUUGGUUUUGAUUGAUUUCAAUCCAAAACUUGCUGCGGAUUUCAAUCCCAAUUUUUGUUCGCCUCUUUUGGUCUCAUCAGAGGACGGAGGAGGAAGUUGAUUUCGGUGGGAGAAAAUUUUUUUUCGAUGAAGAAGCCAGUUCUGGGAUUGAUUCACGAGAAAUAAAGAGAAAAUAAAGAAAAAUACUUUUUCAAAAUUAAAAAUAAGAUUAGAGUUAACAGAGUUAUUGUGGUGUUAGGCUAGCGAUGAGAUGUCAAAUUUUAGUUGGUGGCACAGGGUUUUUGGGCAGAGGUGAUGUGCUUCCCCUUAAGAACUAAUUGGAAUAAAUCUUAGCAUCUUACGAGUAGUUAAGACUCAAGAGGCCAACAAAAGGCCAUUUUGCAUUUCUUCUGGGGCUUCUUCUGAAUUUACACCCUGCUCAUAUCCUAUAGAAUGUUCAUUUUGUAACAUUUCACAGUUGUUCACAUCAUCAUAAGUAGUAGUAGUAGUAGUAGUAGUAGUAGUUUAACCUGCUUCAAAUGAUGUUAAUAUAUUAUGCUUCAUUGAUUAAUGAUGUAAUCCAACUUCUAAGAGGUGAUUCUGCAUGCUGAGGUCCUCACUAGACUCGACAGCAAAAUUUGACAGCAAACCUGCAAAAUCAACCAAACCCCAUCAAAAUGUAGUCACUACGCAGAUAGGAAGUUACAUAAAUGUAAGAAUCACUGUGCCAUUACAGAAUCAAACAACCGGGAAACCCUUACCCCCCCCCCCCCCCCCCUUUUCCUAGUCUAGAAAAGCUCAGGUUUAUCUUCCUUUUGUCUGUACAUAAGUUGUGGCUCGUCUUAAAGAUAUUGAAAUGAUCCUCUCAGUAAUGGAGGUAAUCUAGAGCAUGACUCAUAUAUGAAGACCUUAAGGUUACAAUGUCAGGCCAGUUUAUCAUACUAUACCACAGUAAUUGAAAUGCCAACUCCAUGUCUCCCAAAGGAUACAAGGUUUAACACGCAUUGUGCAAUAAAAGAAGAAUAAUGACACCAGGAAAACCCAGCGCACAACUGCACAACUGAAGUUCCAACAUACCAUUCUAUAUUAGUCUAAUAUCUAGGAGAGCUAACUCACUCAAACUUCCUUUCAAAGAGCAGGACCUCUGAUACCAAAUUGUAUUACUAGUUUACCUUAUACGAGUUCUUCCUAAAUUAUCAAGCUAAGUGGCCCGGAGAAAAGUUUUAUCCAUUUUUGAGAUAUUAAUAUACCCAUAUGAUCAAAACCUUAAGUGUGAGUACUGAAAACCCAAGGCCAUCGCCAUGUCUCCAAUAGUAUCCAGCUUUAUCAUACAUCAGAUCUUGCACUGUUCAUUGUUAGAAUGAAUAUCUUUUUCAUGUCUGAAAUUAUAGAAGAAUCAUCUCACCAGUAAAACCUAGCAAGCACAGUUGAAGUUCGUUUAUACCAUUCUAUAUUAAUCUAAUAUCCAGUAGAACUAACAAAGAAACUCAAAUGUCACAAAGAACAGUAUAUGUGCUCUAGGAAGUUGCAUUCACUAGUUUACCUAAUUCGAGUUCUUCCUAAAUGACUAAGUCAAGUGUCGCAGGAAAAAAGUUUUAUUCUUAAAUAAAACCGGUAAUUACAACACCCACAUUGAUUGUAGUUAUGGCUGGAGUUCAGAAAUUUAGUGUAUUCCUGCUCAAGCGGCAGAUGGGCAAUGCAAGUUGAAUGUGAUAUGUUCACUGCUCUGUGCAUUUCAGCUUAUGUUAUUGUUGCCCAGCAUAAAGAUCUCACCUAAUUCAAACCUUACAAGCAGAUACCUCAUCUAAUUUCUCCAACAAAAGAUUUGAAUGCCAUAAUAUCAACUAAAGAACAAUGCAGCUCCGGAUCUACUUCAAGCAUACUUAUAUUCAGCUAACACUACAACUACUCGAUGCAAGAAUAGAAAUGCCGAAAAAUACAACCAUAUUAUCAAUGUAGUGUACCUGAAGCUUGAAGCUCAUCUCAAGACAGGCUUUUGCAGAAGAGCAGUCAAGUAAACCUCCCCAUUCUUCUCAUUCUUACUCGCCGUCGCCCACUUCACUCUCCGGUACCCCAACUUCCCAAUCAACGGCCCGAAAACCUUCUCAAGAUCCACCCCCUUGCUAAAGAAAUGAUCCAACCACAAGUACCCUCCUACCCUCAACACCCUAUCCGCAUCGUACAACAAAAACUCCAACGCCGUCACCGGAAUCCACCUGUUCACCGCGUGCCCGCACCGCACCAGAUCCAACACCCCGUCAAACACGGGGAACCGCUGCUGCAGCGGCACGUGCAGCGGCACCAGCCCCCUCAGCGCCACCGCCUCGUUAUUCGGACUGCCGAAAUUCAUGGUGGUGGUGACAACUGUCACAUUGUAGAGCUUCAUCCUGGCGGCGAAGGUCCCGGUGCCGCCGCCGACGUCCAGCCCGAGGCGGAGGACGGCGCCGGCGGCCUUGGCGAUCUGGAAGAACUGCGGGAUGGGGAGGUCCAGCUCGGACUUGUAGGUCAUGAAGUUGGAGAGCUCGUGGCUGAAGUCGAAGCCGGAGCUGAGGCCACGGCGGUUGAGGCAGCUGAAGCUUUUGCAGGCGUACUUGUCCCAUAUCACAUUCUGAUCCGGGAGAGAGGGAGGGAAAGCGUCGUGGGAGAGCGAUGACGUGGGCUUCUGCGGCGUUCUGGAGAAGCAUCUCCGGCGGGGGAGGGGGUGGCAGCCGCGGAGGAUGAGGCUCUCGGCGACGUCGUCGGCGUCGGCGGGGCAGAGGGAGAAGGGAGUGUAGGUCAUGUACUUGUUGAGGAGGUCGGGGUGGUUGUGGCAGGAGGAGGCGAUCGGGGAGAGGCGGGAGUAGAGGAGGAGGUCGGCGGAGGAGGCGGCGGCGGCGCGUGGGGGAGGAGGGUGGUGGCGCGUGAGGUGGUUGAUGGUGGCGCGUAUGGUUUGGAGCUGGCGGAGGAGGUGGUCGGGGACGGCGGUGUUGGGAGGGGUGGGGGAUUGGAUGGUGGAGGAGAGGUGGUAGAGGGAGAGGAUGUUGGUGGCGACCAUGGCCAUAAGCAGAAGCAAGUUAAGACCCAUUGUGAAACCCAUCUUUGGAAAAAUUGGGUUUCAGAUUUGGAAAGAUUUGAGCUUUUUUCUUGAAGUCAGUGAGCGUUUGACUUCAUAGUGAAGUAAGCAGCUUUAUUAUUACGGUGGAAGCAGUUGCAGAGCCCAGUUGGGGUUAGAUUUGUAAUUAGGAGGAAGUUUGGGGGUGGAAACUGGGAAGAGAGAGUUGCAUCACUUGCAUGGAUUUGGAUUUUGAUUUGGUUUCGUUUGUCAUUUCGUGGGGUUAGUUGGGUCAAAAGUGUGAAAAUAAUUAGAGUGGGAUGGACUGGAGGCACGUGACUUGUUGGACCCACUUGAACCUUUUUACCUUUUUUUUUUAUUAAAUGGGAUUAUUUUUUUUCAUGCAGAAUCUAUUCCAUGAUUUUAUAUUCCUGCCUUUCUGAUUCCAUGAUUAAGAGAAGCAUUUACUGUUUUCCGGGGACGGCUGUUCUUGAGUCCGACGAUGUGUUUAACUCCGGAACUAGAAAGAUGUGUUUUAAUCCGAGUCCUGUAUCUUGUAGCGAAUCCUGGUAACCACAUAAAGCAUUAGAGUGAUUGGUUUAUUUAUGAAUAUAUGUUACAUGGAGUUUAAUUGUCUUAAUUCAUACAGAUCAAUGAAGUCACACUAAACACGUCUUUAGAUUUUCUUACCAAAAUUUUAAAAUAAAAAGACAAGCUUUUAUGAAGCAAAGAACACCAAAGUUAUGAGUGAAGGAUAAUGAAGAGAACAAAAUCACAUAGAAGUGCAAACUAAGAGUUGAUCUUAAGUUUGGCUUUCAUAUAUUAUCAUCAAAUCAAGUGAGCGUACACUAUUGCUUUACGCGAUACUGUUUUUCAGUGAGCUAUGAUAUGUUAGUAAGUUAUAAAUCCAACAUAUCAUAAGUUGGAAUAUUCUCACUCAUACAUUUAAGUUGAGUGAGUGGUUAAGAGUUUUUUGAAGUGGUAAAAAUUAGCUUCUACCCUUUAAUUACAUAAGUGAUAUAUAUAUAGUUCCAUUCAAGACUAGGACACCGUUUUGAAAAUUAAAAUAUGGUGUUCUUCAUUUCGCUCAUUUUUAGGUCAUAUUUUCACAUCUUCACCGUUCAAUGUCUAGAACAUAGUGUGUAGAUCAUUCCUGUAAAAUUUCAUCCAAUCUAGAGAUCAUUUAGGUACCGAAUUAGAUUAAAUGAAUCAACUGAACAAAAUAUGUCCAAAAUCUCCAAAUUGGAUUACCCUAAACGUUUAUUAAGACUCUGGAAACAAAACUGGAUUGUGUUCUACUACUACGUGUAUAGCAAUGGGCCGAUAUAGGGACGAUACAACCUAAAUGGAACGAAUCCAAUGAACUGGGCUUUUUCGUUCUUGUUUUUCUAUACCAAAGCUUAUAUACACUUUCUGAGUGCUGCGUGCAACAGUACAAUCUGUAUAUAAAGAUCUCAGACUCCGCGUCCGACAAACGCAAACGCAAACACAAACACAAACUCAAACUCAAACUCAGCCGGACUUAGAUCUAUCUCUACUCACAACUUGAAUCAAUGGUAAAUUCUCUCCCUCACUUUCAGUUUUCCUUUUACUUCCCACUAGAUAAUUUUGCCAUACUUUGAAUUAGGGCUAUGAAUGUUUUUAACUUUUCAUAUUCAGAUUUCCACUAAUUAUAUAAAUUAUAGCUGGGUUUUAAUCAAUCUGUACUCUUUUAUGGUCUUCAAUAUGGAUUGGGAGCUGAAAUUGAGUAGGCUGAUAGUACCCAGAAGCUUUGCGGUCUUUUAUAUAGUUGUAGUUAUCUGGGUUAGCUAUGUUAUAUUGUUAUUGGGUUUUCUACUACCAGCCACAGAAAGUAAUCAACUUUGAGGAAUUACAAUCACUAGAGUUUGUGAAACAUGGUCUGAAAGAGUUAGGUAGUUAGUUCUAUACUUCUAUCCUCCAGUUCAGGCUCAUAAGUAAUGGGUUUGGAAUUGUGCAGGAGUUGGCUCAUGUAAUGAUAAGUGAAGUUAUGAACCUUUUGCAGUCUUGUAAUGCAAUUACGGUGCUUUAGAAAGCACACAGAACUGUAUGGUUUAGUUGUCUGGUUUGUCAAGCAAUGAACCAGUUCAUGUUCUCAACCAUGCCUGGCUAGAUAUCAAAGUUAACUUUUUCAAAUUGAUCGGAUAACCAGAAGCACUGCCUUCUUUCCCUUGUUUUUCUUGUAAGUCUAUACAUGUAAAUGAAUGGAAGUCAAAGACUAUAUGUUAUUUAUAGUUGGCAUAUUAUUUCAAUUAUGUGUUUUUUUUUAGUAUGAUUGGGUUUGUUAGCUAUUUGGUUUCCCUGUCAUUGGAUGUUCGUUCUUUAACUUUAUGAAUUCCGUUAUUAGGCUGAUCCCGAACUCGAAGCAAUCAGACAGAGGAGAAUGCAGGAGCUUAUGGCUCAACAAGGCGCUGUAAGUACAACUUAGUUUAUCUGAACAUCUGUGCUACAAAAAGAGGUUGUCUUCUUGGCGCUUUUGUGCUGACCUCACUACUUUAUAUUGAUAAGCAGGGAGGAGCCCGAGGGCAGCAAAAUACUGAACAGCAGAAGGCAAAUGAUGAUGCCAAGAGGUUGGGUUUUAAAUUAACUUUGGGUGUUACUUCUUUUUCUUUUGUUCUGAUAAUGUUCUUAAUAAUCUCAUAACAUAAGGCAAAUAAAUGUAGGGAGGCAGAAGAACGGAGACAGAUGAUGCUUAGUCAGAUUUUGUCAUCUGAAGCUCGUGAAAGACGUAAGUUGAUAUCUGAAAUUGGCAGUUGAUUUUCUAAUUAGUUUUACCCUGUAUUUUCCUUUAUUAGUCAUCUAUUAAGGACAAAACUAUUUCUGAUUUAAUAUGUUUGGAACUUUGGAUCACUGUUAUUGACUAGUAAAUAUAAUGUAGAUGUCUUGGAAGGAUAUUUAGUUUUUUCAAAACUAAGAAUGACGGAGAAGAUGCUAUCUUGAUAAGUUAAUCUGUGGCAACGAUCUGUUGCAGUUCAGUCAAAUGCAUAAUAAGUGCAAUUCAUAACUUGGCUAGGGUACUUAUACAUUAUCUUAUACGUAAUGCUAUGCAUUUGUAGUUGCUCGAAUUGCUUUGGUGAAACCUGAGAAGGCAAGAGGUGUUGAAGAUGUCAUAUUGAGAGCUGCUCAAAUGGGCCAAAUAGCUGAGAAGGUAUGGUUUAUGGUUCUCACAUCCUCAUCUGUCUUAUGGUGGCCCAUAGUUUUCUAUUUUUCUCGCACCAAAGCUUUCAUAAGAGCUCAUCUAUAGAAGAAACAAAGUGCUUAGAAUUCAAUUGUCAGGUCUCCGAAGAAAGGCUUAUUUCAUUGUUGGAACAGAUCAACAACCAAACAACCAAGCAGACCAAAGUCACUGUAAGUUUCAAUUCAUGACGACCUUCAUUUGUUUCCAUUUCCAUGAUAAGCGAUUCUGAUUUGGCCUUGUGUUGCUUUCCGUUUUCCAGAUUCAGAGGCGUAGGAGUGUUCUCGAAGAUGAUGAUUGAUUUGAAUUUGUGCGUUACAGUUGAAGACUUUGGCUGUAUAUUGAAACAUAAUGCACUUUGAAACAUAAUGCACUUGUUAUUGGGUUGUGAAAUAUUUUACUGUUCUUUCUUCAAUCUUGAUAUUCGUGAUAUGCUCUAAUACAAUAUUGUAUGGGAAGAAAUUUUUCACCAAUUAUUGUUUGAAGCCUUGUGAAUUUAAUUGAAAACUGGUCACUUGGAAUGGAAUAACAUUCUAAACUGAUUACUACCGACUCUCAACGCUUGAUUCUAGAUUUCAUUUUAUAUCAAAAGGUUUACCCUUAGUUGUGUUUUUGUGGCUUAGAUUUCAUUUUAUUAGAUUUCAGUCUAACAGGGAUACAUAACCCCUGAUAUUUGGUGCACAUUCAUGUCUGCGUCUGGUUGAUUGACUCUUAUUUUUUCGUGUUUGGUGUGAGACCAAAAGUCCAAAACUUCCGACAUAUGAUUCAUUAAACCAUGUUUCCUAAGAAAUAUAUAUCAGAGGAGGUAGUUUUUAUAAAAAUACAACAAUGAUGGAGAAAAAUUGAGAGAAGUUUAACUGAAGUUGAAGACAUCAAAAGGGUUAGCAACCUAAAUACUAAAAACAAAUGAGAGAAUAUACGUCAGCCUUAAGCACCAUUUGUAAGAAAGAAUAACCGUUAGAUGACACGAUCAGAAACUGAAGGCAACCAUUUGAUUGGAUAGGACAUGACACACGAGAUUUUUAUGAGGGAAAUCUGUAAAUUAUUUCACGAGUAAAACAAAUACAGUGUAAAAGAAACUAGGUAUUACAAGACUUUGAGAGAAAUCUUGAGUGAAGAGUUGGAAUCAAAAUCUUGUGUAAAGAUUUUGAAAUUCUGAGUAGAGAUUUUGAAUCGAAGAUUUGAGUAAAUACUGGAAUUUGAUAUGAGCACAAAGUGCUAUGUUUAUAAUGUAUUUCCUACCCUAUUUAGUUAUAAUAUUCUCAUAAUGUUAUUUCUAACAUGUUUUGUGAUUGUAGAGGCAAUGAAUCGAGAAAAAAAGGCUAAAUCGCGGAAAUAAGAGAAAAAUACAGAAAAAGGCAAAUAAGCCCUUCUUGCAGUCCAAGGAAGGAAGGAGAAGUAAAUUUGGAUUCUAAUUCCAAAGAAUGAAGGAGAAGUAAGUUUGGAUAAAAGAAAAGAGAAAAGUCAAACAUGUGCACCUAGUCCCACAUUAUUUUGGAAGAAGAAAUAAAUUUGGAUUUGUCACACCCCGGUCCCGACGUCGACGGGUUUUAAGCACUAGACGUCGAUCCUGAGGCGUGAACGAGUGUUACAAAGCGAAAUGUAAACAAAAGUACUAUCUUCUAAACUCGUCGUCUACCCUUUUCCCGGCUUGGUACAACCUAAGUACUUUUUCUGCAAAAAAUAUUAGAAAUGGAUGGGUGAGCAAAACCACGCGCUCAGUGAGUAGACCAAUGUAAUAUGCCCGCAAAGCCAUGUCAUUUUACACACGCUACAAAAUACGUAUAUCGUAUACACAUCACUUCACACAAUUCAUCACAUCGCACAAUCCCUUCUUAUUGGAUAUCCUUCAAUUUAGUGAUCCCCAUGGGAACCUAAUGACCUUCAAGUCUUAUACCUCCGUGUGUCACAUCCUUACUUCGGCAUAACCAAUCAAGAAGUUCACAUGUUCCAUGACUAAUCAAACAAUGGAUCCAACACAUAAUUAUAUAUAAACACUGCAUAUUUUGCAAAUAGACAUGGUUCACUUGAAAUAGAGAGAUAUUUCGUAAAUAGAUCAAAAUCAUGUUUUUCGACUAUUGUGAUAACAAAUAAGAAUAUUUUAAAUAUAUUACACAAAUCCACUCACCUCGUCAACACGAAUCCCUACCAAGAACAUCGAUUGUAAACCGAGCCUCCUAAAAUGAGUCAUCUAGAAAUCACCGUUGGAUCUAGCUCAAAAUUCUAGGAUAGAAAGAGGACAUCGAUACGUACCCGUAGCAUCUCGCGAAUUCAGAAUCGGAGUUAUGGAUCAAAAAUUAUAAUCCGCCAAAGUUUAGUCGCAAAUCUAGAGAGAGAAACUAAUUAAAGANNNNNNNNNNNNNNNNNNNNNNNNNNNNNNNNNNNNNNNNNNNNNNNNNNNNNNNNNNNNNNNNNGAGAGAGAGAGAGAGCGUCAGAAUUGAGACUUUUUUUUUUAGAGAAUUAUUUAUUAAGACUUGAGAGAGAAAAUUGGGGAAAAAUUAAGAGAUAUAGAGAGAGCGUACGUAUGUAUUCUGUCUUUCUUUUUGUUAUUUUAUACGCGUCACACGUAUUUUUAACGUGACGCACUUCCAGCUAUAUUAUUUGCAUUUUCUAUUAUGCCCCUACUUAUUAGUAUCUUUAUAAAACAAAACAAAAAAUAUUAAUAAAGGGUAAAACUGGUAUUAUCUGAAAACUGAAAAUAACUAUCCUCAUUUCCUAUUUCAUUUUUUUCUACCAUAUGCUCUCAAAUCUAUCGCUCUGCCAUAAGUUCUUAAAUCAAUCUUUUUGCCUGAAAAUCAAAUUUAAAAAGAUUCUCAUAAACCCUAAAUCAUGUACUUAUAUAAUUGCACCCCCGAAAAAGGUUCAAAUUUAGACCUAGUCUUGAAUCUCUGUAGCCUAACUCUUUCUUUUGUCUUUGUUAAUCGACAUCAUCAUGAUUUCGAGUUCGAAAUCGAAGCCUCAAUUAAGUAACGAGGCAUUCAAUGUAAACAUUAUUAGGCUAUUAAGUAUAACAUAUCAUCUUGCUUUAAAGGAUUCCAAUCGGAAGUGGUAGAGAACAGUUUCAUUCAGCUUGUUUUCACUUCUGCUUAUUUCAUUAUGUGUUUACACACGUUACCUUCAGUUUUUAGUCAAGUACCAAAAACCAAGAGCUUUUCCUUUCCUUAGAGGAAUCAAAAGCAACCACAAAAUUAAAUAACAAUGAUAUAAAGAGCUCAUAGCAUAUGAUCCAGCUGAUAAACCAGUUGAGAUCUACAACAUGAAUUAAGAGAGCAAAAUCGUGUGACCGUAUCAACAUCGAAACAACUUAAAGUCCACUGCAGUGGCACAGAAAUCAUUUGAGAAGGGUUCUGGUUAAAUGUUCUCUUGCAACAGCCCAUGCUUGAGUUAUAGUCUGCAAAGUUUGAAAAUUAGGAAAGCAGGAUUAGAUUAGUUUCUACUUUCUACCGCAUUUUAAUUGAAAACACUUUUGAGUAUCUGAAAUCCCUAUUAGCAGUACCUAGAAGCCCCUUAAUCUAUUUGGUUUCAACUAAGCAAACGGAAAGUUUUGCAUUACCUGCUCAGCCAAUGGUGCAUCAGCAUCCAUGGUAUGAGUUGCCACCUUUCCUGCGAUAAUAGUUGGAUCUGUUUCAAGUAUCAUCCUGCAAUAUAAGUCAAGCACAUGAGAUCGAUGUAUAAUCAUAUACUCGAUGACAGAACUAAGAUCAAGAAUCUUAUUGCACACCCUCCAUCAACAAUCUCAUCAAAGCACAGAAGUAUGAGAUCUAGGUUCUCCAGUGCCUCCCUUUUAUCAACAUUGUUCCUGCAAGUAGGACAAGCAUGAAUAUAUAGCACAAAAGGUCCAAGAUAAAUAAUGUUGAAAGGUAAAAGGAGUUCAAGGAAAAUGUUAUGACGUCCAAGUCUACCUCAAGAGAAGGGCAACUGCAUCAAAGAAUCCCUGAAGGACAGUGGCUAAAAUGAGUUCGUUUUCAUCGUCACUUCCAGUCACAAAGAAGUGAAGGUCCUGCAUAAACCUAUAUACAACAACGUUGCUUUCGAACAUCAUUAUCUCCGCUGCAUAAGAUAUACAAUAGCAAAUUGUAAAUUAAGGUACUACAAAUGUGGUGAUAUAACAUGACUUCCUGUAGCAUAUCGACAACAUGACUUGAAUGAAAUCAUUGUUUUCAUACAUUCAAUCCUUGCAUUUGUCUUAAGAGUCUUAGUGAACACAGAUUUUUCAAAAACUAGCUUUGCACCAUUUGUUGGCCAAUCAUCCGAGUAAUACUUGACCGCCACACGCUUCCCUUCAGAGUCCAUAAGAAGAAUGUUCUUCACAGAUGGGCGUGAAUCCUGGAAAAUAUAUAAAGGUGGAUCAGAACAGCAUGCAUAAAGAUCACUCAAUACAAAUUCAUACGCAGUUAGCCUAUAGCUAAUGAAUUCAUACUUUCAUCCAUAAAAAUCAUAUUGUGCCAAAAGUCUGUCUAAUCUAACUAAGGUUCUAAUAAUAGAUCCUGACUAUAUCCUUGGAUCUUAAAAUCUGAUUGAACAUCAGUUACAAUUGGCCAAAUCAACAUAAUUUGUUAAUAACUUAAUACACAUCAGUUGGUGACUUCAGCCUUCAGGUAUCAAUUUUCAAGCGUAAAAAAGAUCUAUAAUUCAAACUUGAUCGUUUUGCUCGUAAUCAGAGGAACUUCAAAGAUCUAUUGACGUGAGCUCAAAAUGAUCACAUCUUAUUUCCCAAUCAAUUAUACUAAACAAAUCGAUAGAGGUAAUAUGGAUUGGAAAAUGAGACUUACACGGUAACCGAAGAUACACUCCAUUUUGAUGUAAUGAUGAUACCUGAGACUUGGACACUUCGGUUCAGAUAUAUAUACCUUUUUCUUUAGAGGAAUGGAGAUGGGUAGUUUUGUCAGUUUAUUUAACUUUCUUCUACUGCUUUCCAGGAAAAAAAAUAAUUUUGCGUCUUGAUUUAUGUUUCAAAAAAAAAAUAAUCAAAAGUACGCAGUCCUGACUGUCUGAGAUAAUACAUACAAUUAAGAUUAUUCUUCUAUUUUACAUCUUCUUUAAUCUUGAUAGAUUCAUGUAUGUACUAUAAAUUUAUAUACAAUCUUGAUAGAUUUACUCUUCUUAUACCAUAGAUUUAAAAAGGAAGAAGAAUGAUGUCAUAUGUGGUGAACGGAAAGCCUUGGUUUUUUGGACACUAUGUCUGUAAUGGCGAAUGUUUGUAUGACUGUCUGUAAUGACGAAUGUUUGUAUGACCCGGCUAGCGAGUGUACCGAUCUCAACAUUCAUUGAAUAGGUUGAGAUAUUCCGAUUACCAUGACUAGAUAUACGAUGACGAUGGAUGGUUGGGGAAACUCUUGGUUAGGUGGAGCAGUUGGAUGAGAAUGAGAUUAAAUAAGACACCAGAGCUAAGGUCAGACUGAAUGGGAUGAUCCACCCUGACACCUAUUAAGUUGUUUUGCAUGAUUCCUUUACCAUGAUUAAGAUGGUGGAUUAUACUCUUAUCGUUGCCUUUUUUUUAAUAACUUUUUUUAAUAACUGACCUCAUUAUCUCAUAUUCAUAUAUCGAUUACAUGACUUGCAGCUCUAUUGCUAAUCUAAUUUCAUGUUCCUUCAAGAUAACAAAAUAUCUUCAAUAGUCAAUACACGACAUUGCCGUGUAUCUACAACAAACGAAAAAAAUAUGAAAAACUUGACCAUCAACGACAAACGAAAAAAAUAUGAAAAACUUGACCAUAUCGUAUGGGAAGUUGCAAAUAAGAAAAAAUUUCGAUACCUCACGGUCAUGACGUAUAUAUAUUUUGACGAAGUGAUUAACCUCCCAGGUUCCAAAGUCGCGCGUGAUCGUAGCCUCCUCCUCUGAACUAGCCGAAUCUCCUGACUACACUCACAUCUCAACCUUUUCCUUUCCUUAAACUCCCACAACCUUUGUACCUCUCCAAAUCUCUUCUCCACUUUUGCUUUUUUGCUUUGUCUCUUCUCCCCACUUCCCAACCAAACCAAUCACAUUUCCUCUCUCAAAGAUCACACCUUUCCCCCUAAAGUUUCAAUCUUUCACUUUUUCCGGCGACACCCAACUCCCCGGAACCACUUUCCGGCCGACCCAGAAUGGACAAAGAGCCUCUACUCCCCUACACAUCAAGCCCACGAAGAAAGCUCCCAUCUUUAACCACCCUCUGGCCUUUGCCGGAACACGACGAAGUCCCCGUCCCCUUAACCCCGUUGGAGUUUAAAGACCGCAUCAUCUUCGGCUCCCCCGCCGCCGCCACCGCCACUUCUUCUUCGCCGCAUGACUCGUCUCCUCUGGUCGACGCCCUCACUCUCUCUCUCAAUUCUCCAAGACUCUCUUCGAGGCCCACAUCCUCGUCUUCUCUACUGGACCCCACCACCGCGCCGCAGCCGCAGGGGGACCCACAAACGCCGCUGAGCUGGCUGAUCGACCCGAACUACUCAUGGACCAAGACCAACCUCCACAGGUCCAAGACGGCUCCGGCAAUGGCGGUUUUGAACGAGGUGAACCGCCGGGCCGGGCCUAAGCCUCAGAUGAGUUCACAGUCUAUUGUGAGGCAAGCUGUGAUUCUUCUUAUUGCGUAUUUGACAUUAGGGGUGACUAUAUAUUGGUUUAACCGUGAUAAUUUCGAAGCGAGUGAGACUCACCCUGUUGUGGAUGCUCUGUAUUUUUGCAUUGUGACAAUGUGCACUAUUGGGUAUGGGGAUAUCACACCCAAGACUACGGCUACCAAGCUGUUUUCAAUAAUGUUUGUGUUGGUGGGGUUCGGGUUUAUUGAUAUAUUGCUUAGUGGGAUGGUGUCAUAUGUGCUUGAUUUGCAGGAGGGUUAUUUGCUGAGGAGUGUGAAGGGUGUGGGGGAGAAGAAGGAGUCGUAUAUUAUUGAUGUGAAGAAGGGGAGGAUGAGGAUUCGGAUGAAGGUGGGACUGGCAUUGGGGGUUGUGGUGCUUUGUAUUGGUGUUGGUGCUAUGGUGAUGCAUUAUGUGGAGAAGUUAGGAUGGUUGGAUUCGUUUUAUCUCUCGGUUAUGUCUGUAACGACUGUGGGGUAUGGUGACCGGGCUUUUCAGUCUGUGCAGGGUCGGUUGUUUGCUUCAGUUUGGUUGCUUGUGUCCACACUCACGGUUGCUAGAGCCUUUUUGUAUUUGGCUGAGGCAAGGGUGGAUAAACGGCAUAGGAGGAUGGCAAAGUGGGUUCUUGGCCAGGAUAUGACUGUUUCCGAGUUCCUUGCUGCUGACAUUGACAAUAAUGGGUUUGUGAGGUAUGUGUUUUUACCAAACCUUUUGACAUUUUGAUCAGAUGAGUUGUUUGAGAUUGUUGGCUUUGUUUAAUUGACCUACAAUGAUGAUGGUGUAAAAGUUAUUUACUUCAUAGAUUGCAUUGUUUUGCUCUGAAUUCUUUAUGUGCUGUUUAGUUGUACUGCAUUUACCCAUUACUUUAGGUUUUGUAUGAAAGAAACAUGAAUACAUGUUAAGCAACUUGUAAUACAUUUUCUGCUUUGUUAGAAACACAGAUGAUCACUCCUUUCUCUAGUUAUCAAGUAUGAGAUUGAGUGAAGAGCCCUUUUUGUAAUAUAACUGCCCAGAAUUAGAUAGUUUAUUUUACAUUUUCCAACUUCUAUAAGUUCAACUUUGUGGUUUGUACUCAUAUGAUGCCGAAUAAGACAUCAGUUAUUAGAUUGUGUUCAAAGUGUUUCAGGGUUGGUGUGUCUUCUCAUUUCUUGGUACGUGUAUGUGUGAUAUGAAGGAGACCAAUGAAGUCAUUAAGGUGGAAUAAAACAGAUAAGAAUCAUAAGAUACUUUAGGUGAGUCUUUAUCAUAGCAUCCCCAUAAGCACAAUAGUCGCUUCUUUGGGAUUUGAGCAAGUCUUAAUAACAUAAUGCCACCACAAGUGAUACAAUACGUAUAGGACUCUGAGCACGAAAUUCAUCAUAGUGAAAUUUGAUUAGGGUGUCUCUGAUAAGAAUUGGCUAUAUGUUUUUCUCUUAUAAAUGAUACACAUUUGAUAGUGGGUAUCAACUCCGGAUGCGUAUGCUUUGGUAUCUUUCUGCCCUUUUGAGUUUGAUGUCAGGUUGGUAAUGGGCAUAGUCUAGUAAUGUUCAGUUUUGCUUGUGUAUUGAACAUCAGAGUCUGUACGUUCUCCACUUUGAGAAAAUUGUUUGGUUUCUCAUGUGAAGAGAAACAUUGUGGACAAGUCUGCAAAUAAUUUUGGAUGCCACAAAGUCAGGGCCUUGUGUCUAAGUCCAACUGAUCUGGGACAUAUGAACACUUGGUAGCAUAUGAAAUCUAUCAUUGCCAUUAUUGCAUAAUAGGCCCUGAGAACAGAGUAUAUGAUCUGAAUUGCAUCUUUACUUCAGAGCUGUCUUUUGCCCACCUUUUCAACUAAAGAACAUAUCUACGAACCUCCUGCCCUUUCUUGUGUUUGGAACUCAUGUUGCACAUAUCUCUCGUGUUCUUUAUGGACAAAAUGAUUACUCCUGCUCUUCUUUUUUGCAAUGUAAGCACUACUACUUUCCUGAUUCUUUUCCUCUAUUUAGAGGCUCCAAAGACAAAUUCAGUCAAUGAACUUAUUCUGUACAUGGUUGGCUCUUAGUAGAUGUGGCCAAAGGUCAAAUACAAAUUGUGAAGCCUUAUUGAACAUCCAGCACUGCCAACUUGGGUGUAUAGGCUAGAACUACUAUUGUAUUGCGCCUUUCUUCUUCUCCUAAUUAGUAGUUACUCAUAUUAUUUUGCAUGUUCUUGAGCUCAGUAAUCUGAUUUGGUGUUUUAUAUGAAGUACCUAUUAUAACAAUAGUUUGGAUGACAGGUUGAAAGAGGUACCAACUUACUAUUUUUCUGAAACCAGAGUUCUUAUUUGACUGCCCAACUUCAUAAACUUUUGAACCAUCAUACGUGAGUAGUUUAUGUGCGUUUCAGAUAUUAUAAUGUAAAAGUGAAGCUUGUUGGUUGCUAUUAACCAAUAGUUGAAGAGUCUUUUUCAGUCUGAAUAGUGUAUCUGAAUAAUCUGGAGUCAACAGAUUGCAGAAGAUGGGGAUUAUUUUCAGAUAACAUGCAUAUAAUCUGCUUCUUUGAACAUGCCUUAAUACGUUUUAACAUUUCCAUUAUCUGUCUAUACCAUUAUUUUCUACAGAAGUAUUCCAUACAUAUUGGAAUGCAAAGGUUUUGCUUUAGAUUUCUUGCGCAUAAAUGUGACAUAUUUUUUUUUAACUAAGAUCUAUAUGGAAUGUCUAUAUUGGUAAACUGUCUAUGAGUUGCAACUAAUAUAUUGAUCAUUUAUAGUUAUUAUUUGUGUAUGCUCUUAGCAGUCAACCUUUUGCCAUUAGUGACCAUGAUGUAUUCUAGAAAACUGGAGAUGAACCCUGCUUAUGAUAUUCUCAGUGCUACCGUACUAGGCAAUAACGUGGUUUCAACCAUUGUUUUCUUGUUGUCAUGAUUUAGUUAUGUUAUCUAGCACACCAUGAUAGCUUAACAUGGUGUGCUAGUUUCCUUGGCUGACUUUAUUUGUGUGUAUAUAUAAAUAAAUAAAUAAUUAAAUAAAUCUACGUCUUGUUGGACUGUCUUUGCUUUGUCUUCAGCACCUUAAAUUAUUUGCUUGCUUAUUUUGACUUGCAGUGAUCCGCAACUAGGCAAGUUUUUGUUGGCUAAUGAUGUUGUUCACUUGUUUGUAUAUGCAGCAAGUCAGAAUAUGUGAUAUACAAACUCAAGGAGAUGGGAAAGGUAUCAGAGAAAGAUAUUAUGCAGAUCUCCAACAAAUUUGAUAGGUUAGACUCUGGGAACUGCGGAAAGAUAACGCUUGCCGAUCUUAUGAGUCGUCAUUGAUAUCCAAGCACCUUUUAUUCCUUUUCCUCAUGGUACAGCAAGGGAAGAAAAUACGUUAUCUCAUUGAACAUGACGUAUAAGAAGCCUGAUCUUUAUGUAGGACUCGCCGUUCAUAUACAAGUUGCAUACACAUGAAAUCAUGAAGUAUGAACUCUGCUGCCUGAUCAAUUGGUCCUCCUUUCUAUACAUCCUGAGCAUCAGCUUGGUCGUUCUUAUAUGAUCAGCUACAUCGAUGCAUUUCUUGAGUAAUACAAACAAGCUAACAACAAAGGUUAUUGCAUAUUCCAGAAUUGCUCAAGUGACGGGAGAAGUGAAACAGAAAAUUGAAAUCACUUUUUUGAGUCUAGACAGAAAAUAACUGUUGACAUAGACUGGCUGUCCUUGUUUUUCUUGGAGAAUUUUGAAGAUUAAUAGCUUAGAAAUCAACAGUAUGUUACUUUUGAUUAGAGUUGAGCCUGUCCUUCUGGCUUCCAAUUGUAAAUGAUUGCAGCUUUGGAUCAAUGAAGGUGAGGCCUUGAAUCAGCACUACUAACAAACCACAAGAUUUGUUUUUAAGUUGGUUGAAUAGCUUGAGAAGGGUGAAACAAUUUUACAAAUUGGAAAUUAUCGCAGUGUGUGACUGUUUGAUUUGGAUAUGGGUUCCUGAAGUCUCCUCUAUCUUUUGGUUUAUUGGUGGGGGAGAAAAUGAAAUGCACUCAUCAUAUUUGAUCAUAAUGAACCCAAAAGGUGCGAGUGUGUAACUACCUCAACUCCUGGUUUACCACUUUCUGUCCCUACUGUCUCAUAUGUUUGGUAUGACAGAAACCCUAAUCUUAUAGUAGAAGAAGAUGAAAGGUAGUCAGCCUUGGUGACCAUGUUGGUAUCAAAAGCUUGAUGAUCAAACCAAUGCCAUUCAUAAUCUAUUGCGACUUUUAUGGUAAAAUUGAAUUGAAAGUAGACUAACUACCUAUAUAUAUUGCUUUAUUCUUGUCCUCUACAAAAGUUCCUUUCAGAAGUGUUGAACAGGACCUUUGUUGUUACUAGAAGAACCUUUCCUUGAAGCUUUCUAUAGCAAUGCACAGAAAGCUAGUUCAUACCUCUAAUAGAGUAAUAACAAGACGAACAAUUAGACUGUCUAUUGGAUUCUAAUGAUGAAGUAGACUCUCCUCAGUGUUCUUGAUCUUGAUCUUGACUGGGAAGCAAAGACUGUGUCCUUUGAAUUCAUAGCGUUUACCCAUAAAGGAGAACAAAAACUUGAAAGAAUGCAAACUAAACUAAAAUAUACCAAGUCAGAUUGACUCACUGCCACUCAUGACAAGCAGAUGACUCCAUCAAAGAAGCAAUAAGUUUCUGAUUUGGUAAAUAAAGGUCAUUUGCUUCAUUUUUUAUUCACCAGUUAGUGAAAUGGUGGGGGUAUUUGCAUUAGAGAAUUCAAGUUGGAGAUUAUUAGUUUAAAGGAAAGCAGCAGUAGUUGUUAGAACCAGUCGUGGAGGUUUUUGACUUGUUCAGGAAUCAAUCCACAAGGGUCCUUUCACAUUUGAGGAAGAGGUUGGCUUUUUAGUUUUUACACCAAGUGAUGAAGGUUAAGACAAAACCCUUGUUGGGUUUUGCUUAAUUAAAUCUAGCAAUUUGGAUCAUAAACCAUACUUUUAUACUUGGAGCUUCCUAAGUGGAGUAGAUGGUGAAUGGUCACUUCAGGAUGUUGACUUUGGCCUCCAAGUCAAGAGGGAUCAUUGCUAUCAGGACUAAAAUAACAUUAGCCUUUAUAUGCAGAUAACAUAUGGACUGUGAUUACUGGAUUACAUGAGUGUAUAACAACUAAUAAACUAGAAAAUAAAUGAAAAUUAUUAUAGCUUAAUUUUAUCAUGCAUAGAUGUUUUCUGUAAGAAAUGAAAAACUAAGAGCUAUCAUGUUACGGAGGACUGUCAGGACCCGUCUCGAAUUUCAUCCUAAAAUCUGAAAUUUAUAAAAAAAUAUUCAAACUCAACUACUAAAUUAAUAAUCCAAGCUCAAAACCAUAAAUCAUGACCAACAAUUAAUUAAUGCAUCAAACUCAAAUAAUUUUCAAAAUCAGUUUAUAAGCCGAAGUUAUAAUAUAAGCUCGGAAAAUAGAAUGAUAAAUUAUAAAAUCUUGCAUGCAUAUUUAUUAAAAUCAAAGUGUCCACUCACAAAUUUAGGCAUAAACCCAACGAUAUCUGAAUCGUCACUCAAGCGAGGUCUCCUCGUAUCCUGGCACAAUAACCAUGCUUAGGACCAAACUUCAAUUCCGAAAAUAAAUAAUUCAAUAUAAACACCAAAACUCUUCCGCUUAACCCAUUACCCUUACUAGGGUUAAGCUUAUCGGAUGCAUGCCAAACUCUAUCACAUCCUUAAUUCAUCAAUUCUGCAAGCAUCUACGACAUUAGAUUGCAUGCUUGUUUUUUAUUAUACAUUAUGCAUGAAUUGGAGUUUCUGUAUGCAUUAUUCGUGAUCUAUAGAUACAUUCUCAGUUUCAUGUAUAUGUCAUAGUUUCCAUAUACGUAGUUGAUAACAGAAAUCAUGCUUACGAGUUAGUAGAUUUUUGUAUCAGAUGAGAUACAAUUACAUACAUUGAAGCUAUAUCAUCAAUUAUUGAGUGUUUGAGGAGAUAAAGUUAGGCGCGCACACUGCGCUUUUCGUGAUGCAGUGGAACUCUGAUAUUGGCUAUAGCAAGCUUCCUAAAUAGGGUGGAACCUCUGAUGGUAUGCAUGUGACUCGAUAAAGUACUGACCGAGUCAUUCAUUUCUUCCAAUGUAUAAGGUGAUAUUAUGUUUAUCCUAACUUUGAUACCUGGCUUCGGCUACAAAUUAAGGUAAUGGACUCGCUCGUUUUUCAUGCUUGGGCUAAAAAGGAUUGCAUUAUUAUCACAUCAAAAAGCUGACACAGACAUCGGAUUGAUUAGACCAAAAUGGAUCAAGUUCGAAUCCGAGUUCAGAUUCCUAAAAGAAAAAUGACUCGAUACAUCUUAUUUAAGACGGAGAACAACAAACUCAAAAUUUUUUUUAACGAUGAUACAAUAUGUAAUGAUCUGAAUACUAAGUAGGCCAUUGGAACAAGAAAGUGUGCCACUUAAUACUGAUUAGGCAGAUGAUUAGACAAUAGAGAACAAAAUAGUUUUAUACACAUGUUGCUGCUGCUGAUGUGCCCUAAAUCUUAGGGUUUGGUGCAAACCCAAAUGUGUCGAUAUCUCAAAGAUUCUUUUUACGGUGUGCACACCUAACAAAAAACCUGCCCUCUUCUACAUCGAUAGGGACUUCCAUUACCAAUUUUCAUAUAUAAAUACCAAAACCAAAGUCCUUAAACUUAUGUCCCUUAUAAUCGACGCAACUAAAAUUAAAUUUAUAGGUCAACAAUCUCAAGCUCUUUGAGCACAAAUCCCUCUUUAAGUCUCCCCUCUUAAGCAACCGCCCCAAAAUCCAAACCCAGAUCACACAACGAGAUUGAUUUGCAAACUUUUGAUUUGAAUCAUUUCACAAGUUUUCAUGUAUACAACUUUCCGUAAUUCAUGUAUUAUUGCUAAUCCUUUUGAUUAAACUAUGGUUAGUCAGUACACAGGGUUUGCUACCCUUCUUAACUCGCCACUAAUCUUCCAAAGUUAUUAUUUAAUUUGUGAUGGAAAACAUGAUCGAAAUACUCAUUAUGCACGAGUGGUCAUUGUUCACGUCAUGUUUUUUUUAUUUCUUUCUUUCAACACAAAUCAAAACUAUCCUUGCAUGUGACAUGUAUCGAUAUAAGUUAGAAAUAUUUGUAGGAAUAAGAUCAAGUAGAUAUACUAUUUAAACUACUAUAGCGGAUCGUACUUUUAUAUAUGAGUAAAUUAUAUGGAACAUAUGCUCCACCUUCAUGUCAAUAAAAAUUGAGCAUAAAUCACGGUUGCGAAGUGGGUAAUUUGUACAAAUAUGGAUGAACGAUUUUAGAAUUCGAGAAAAAAGAAUUCAUUAUUUAUGUUAUAUUUUGACUAAAUCCUUUGGUUGUAUGUCAAUUACAAUCAUAACGUACUAUUUCUCGUUGCACAACACAUCUAAUUACAAAAAUGCUGAUGAAAAAAAAAACAUUUAUAAACAGACUAAUGUCACUCUCAAGCAAAGUAGCUUUUGGCCCUUGAAUUUUCCCUUCCUUGACCAAAUUUUCCCAAAACUCACAAGUGAAAUAAUUGAAUUGGUCUCUCUAUCAUACUUUCAAUUGGUUUAUGAUGUUUGCUAGCUACAAAAGCUUAGUUUUGUUGACUAUACAAAAAAGCUACAAUGUUAGAUGUGUAUGCAUGUUUCAUCCUCUUACAUAAAGUAGGCGGUGACAAUCUAGCAAAUCCAACAUGUUUAUUUAGCACCUCAAUUUUCAUAAUCAAUUUUCACCAAUGCAAUAAUUUCCAGCUUUCCGCGAUGUAACCAUUUUUCUUUUCUCAAAUCAUGGUGUUUGCACUCCACUUUUGAUUAUGUGGAUUUUGAUAAAAUACUAUAUACACAAACUUAUGUAUAUAUUUUCCAAUCCAAAUUAAUGAUUCUACCAAUCGAUUCUAUAUUAUUAGGGUUUUAUUUGUGUUUCCAGCUCAUUCAUCUUGAAUUUACGUUGAUCGAAUCAUAUAAACUCAACACGUAUUUUCUAAAUUAAUUAUACUGUCCGUUUACGCAAUCACUUAAUGAAUCAUUUUCCGAAAUACCUAACAUCAACAAAAAACCUCCACAGGUGACUGAACACGUAAUGCAAAAUGUAUAGCGCACACUGCUUAUGCCUUAUGCUUAGUCAAGUUGCUCAAAACAGAAAGAUGAACGAUCGUGGUGGGUGCUCCAGUGCCUGUCAAUCGGAGCUAGCUACCAACUCAAGUAGCAUCAAUGCAUGGAUGGAUUAGCUGCCGUUUAAGUACAAAUAGUGUCGUAAUCGUAAAGUCGGUGGUCAGAGAAACGAAAAUAGACGACAGGCGUCGCGGAAGUUGGUGACGUAAGCUAGGGAUCAGCAAAGGGAGGACAGGCACCAUGUGGUCUACCACGUGCCCACUCCAGACUCCAGAGUCGACAGAGGACUGGACUACGGUCAAAUACCGGUAGCCACUACCACCACGUGUCAGCCUAAUAUUCCAAACUGCACUGUUCUUCAAUUCCUAAUAAUAAUGGAAAGGACCACACUAAAUUUGUAGGGAUGUGGAGGUGAAUUCCUUUCGUACGUAUACCAUAAUGUGUAUAGGUCAUUUAGGUCUACAUAAUUGAAGGCAUCUAAAACUUGAUCCAGUCUUGUAAUUUGUCGAACACGUAAUAUAAUUCUUUGAUCAUGUUAUUUCGAUGACUGAUAUCUUUUUGUUUUUUUGGAUAAUGAUCGAUGAUCUGAUUAAUCAUUCGAAAAACUUAAAUAAAAGUAUAAAUUAAACAUUAAAUUUAAACACUUCAAUCCAAUAUGCGAAAUUGUACUGAAUAUUAGAAAUUCAGAGCUCGUUCAAAUUUACGUACAUGUAUUCUAUUGCUAGAGGUAGCAAGUCCAUUAAUAGGCAUGCUGAUGAGUCUUCUAGUUUCAUUUGUUUCCUUUGCUCUUUGUCGAUCUUUGCCUUUUAGCUAGGCACCCUUGUAACCUAAAAUUAAAAUUAUGUACGUAUAUAUACUCUAGUUUUGUACACUAGAUAUUCAUUCAUAGAGAAAUUACAUUCAUUAAUUAGAGAAACCAAAAUAAGGGUUCCUUACUUAAAUAAAACAAUGGGAGUAUCAAGGACUCAACAUGUUUCCAAAUUAGGAGGCACCUUUUGGUCCUCUCAAUAUUGGAAGGUGUUUUGUCAACCUCCUUCAUAAAGGGAUUAUAGCAAGUCCAAGUUCAAACCUAUGGACUCUCUAUGCUUCACAUUAAUAUAAUAAUCAAUUCAUGCAUUUAUAAAUAUAUAUAUACUCCAACCCGUAUAUAGAUAGACAAAUUCCUAUUGUUGAAACAAAGAAGUAUAGUAGUCCUCUCCAUUCUCCACCAAAACUAGUUCUUUGUUCUUCUCCCAUCUGCUUGUUUGAUCUUCGAUCUCCCAUGUCUGAUCAUCAUCAUGAGCCUAAAGAUCUUUACUACCAUGAUCUAUUUCAGUAUGAUGAUCAUGGACAACUUAACGGUGGAAUGAUCAUGAACAGCCCCAAAGUUUCUGGUUCAUCAUCCCCGGCUUACAAUAAUAUUAAUCCAUUACAGGGGUUUGAUGUUCCUUCAUACUUGAACACCAGCUUCACAGAGUACAGUUCACUUGCAACGGCUUUUGGCUUAUCGUCUUCAACCUCCGAUCAUGAAGUAUUCUCCUCCAUUGAUGAAGGCAACCAUCAAAAGCCUGCUGAUAAUAAUCUCGGAUACUUACGUGGUGGUGGUGGAGGUCAUGUAAGUAGCGAUGGUGAAGUUCUUAUGACACCAAACUCCUCGGUAUCUUCCUCUUCAGGUGAGGCCGGCGCCGAAGAGGGGGACUCCGGUAACAAGAACAAGAAAGACAGGCAGAAGCCAAAAGGGUCUUCGGAAGAAGGAGGAGAUGUCCAUAGCCCCAAGAAAUCGUAAGUGCUUGUUUAGCUUAGUAGAUAUCCAUUUUUGAUAUAUAGAUUAAGUAUUCGAGUAGGUAUUGAUAUUAUGCCCUUAAUAUAUUUUCUGCAUUCAAAGUGCUAUAUUGUAGCUUAAUCAACUCUCGUUUGAUCAUGGUGUGCAUACUCGACCUGAUUAAUUAAAGUUGAUGAUGAACACCUAUAUAUGCAGGAGCAAGAUAGUGAAGAAGAAAGGAGAGAAGAAGCAAAGAGAGCCUCGAUUUGCUUUCAUGACCAAGAGUGAGGUUGAUCAUCUAGAAGACGGAUACAGAUGGAGAAAAUAUGGUCAGAAAGCUGUCAAAAAUAGCCCAUACCCAAGGUAUAUAUUUACCUACUCAAUAUAAUUUGAUUAUGCACAAAACUAGCUCAUUUCUUUGUCCACACUUCAAAAUUACCCACCAUAAAAGUAGUUCUUAAUCUGGAAAACCAGGAUGCAUGAUGAACAUAACGUUUAACUAGCUAGAACUUUACUUCUUGUUUUAAACUUGGGCAAACUGCUUUCAUUUCAUUGCGCUAUUCAUCAGUUUCUGAUAUUUUACUCCAUCCCCAAAUCCGUUAAUGGAAACUUUUUCUCUGUUUUACUAGAACCAAAGAUUGACUCGUUAUAAGUUUCUAUUCCGCCUUAUGUUUUUGGCUUUUUGCCGUUUUCUUGUUGGAGUUGUGUUUGAUUUGAGCACGGCUCUCUGUUUCAAAUAAUAUUGCAGAAGCUACUACCGAUGCACGACGCAGAAAUGUGGGGUGAAGAAGAGGGUAGAAAGGUCAUUUGAGGACCCGUCGACGGUGAUCACCACCUACGAGGGGCAGCACAACCAUCCGAUCCCGGCGACUCUCCGAGGAAGCAUCAACAUCAACGCGGCUCACCACCACCAUGCAUUCUUCUCUCCUCAGUCUAUGUACGCGUCUGCUGCCACGACGACGUCGUCUUCCGGUCCUAGCUUUCCUCAAGAGUAUCUGUUUCAGAUGGCGCAGCAGCCUCAGAUGAUGAUGAGAAACGACGGAGGAGGCGGCGGGGUUUAUACGUCGAGGAAUGUUAACGUUCCUCAACAGUACCAUCAGUUAUCUGGAGAUCAAUACGGGCUAUUGCAGGACGUGGUUCCCUCGAUGUUUUUCAAACAGGAGCCAUGACCUAGCUAGCUUAGCUCUCCUACCUCUCUCUAUCAGUGUAGAUAUGAUAAUCACUAGCUUCAUGAUCCUUGAUUGACUUGAUUAUUAGAAUACAGAUUAUAUUAUUAAUCAAUCUCCACCACUGAUCUUUUCAAUUAUUAGUUAAGAUCGUUAAUUUAUAUAUGAAGGUGGGACACUACUAGCUAGCUAGGCAGUAGUACUGUAUUACAACACUGAUUGCACGGCAAGAGUUCGACUCUCUUAUUUCUUGCUCUUGCCAAAAUUCAGAGGUGGAUUCGAAUGAGAAGGUGUUCGAUGAAUUGUCCUGUAAAAUGGCAGUAGGGCAAUAACCGACGCAUGUCGUCCGCCGGUCGCCAGACGUUUCCUGGUUCGAAUGGAUCGAGUGAGAACAGUAAAGAUGCAUUGAGCAGUUCUAUGAUCUCUACAUGGAGGGAGAUUUAGAUAUUUUGUUUCUAUGAAUUGAAGGUGACUUGCUAGCUAGUUAUGGAAGAUUGAUUUAAAUGGUUUUGUAAGAGGAAUUUGGUAGAGUAUAGUUUCAGGCUACGUACUGAUGGAUAUUGUUUGGUAGCUAGAUGCUUGUAAUUCUACAGCAAAAGUUGGCUUUUGUAUGUAUGGACAUGUAAGAUCCUUGCUGCGCAGCUUGUUUGCAUGGGUGGUAUUUAUAAGAACUACUAGUUGAUGAUGAAUUAUUUUCAUGAAUGCCACAAGAAAUAUUAUACGUACAGGCAAAGUGUGAAGUGUGAACCAACCAAUUAGAACUUUGUUAUGGUGCAAAUUCAGUGAGAAAAUUCCGAUUUACAAUUUGCUUAAAGUUUCGCUACAUAGAUUAAUAAUUUAUCGAAGAUAUGUAUAUACAGUAUGUAUACAGUAUGUAUACUGUAUAUACAGUAUGUAUAUAAUAAGUCCUUUAGGACCAAUAUCUAAUCAAUCAAAAUAUACUUCGUUUCCAAUUAUAAGAGCAACAUGCAUGAUUAAUCACACGUACGUAUAGAUUGUGAUAUAACAACAUUUGCUUCACCAAGCAACGAGUUAAUUUGCCAAAUGACCAAGAAAGCAAGAAAAGAGAGCAUGGGAGGUACUAAACUAACUUGCUACAAGAAAAAAAAUUUAGUUAGAUGAAUCGAAAUCAUAAUUUUGGGGUUAUCAAAAUAGUAGAAGACAACAAAUUAGUAGCGGCUCAAUUUUUGUCCAUCUCUUUUAGACAUGUAUUUAGGGAGGUAAAUUUUGUAGCUGAUGCAAUAACACAUCUAGAUCAUUAUUUGCCCAACGGUAAUACUCGGGUGAAUAGAACUCCUAUCUAGGCUACCCAUACUCUUGUAUUUGAGUCAUUUGACACGUUCUAGAGGCUUCAUUAUCUAAUUUUAAGUAUUUUUUAUUAAAAAAUAUAAUUUUGGGGUUACGGGCCUAGUUGCCUGAAACAAAAACCAGACUGCUUCCACCACACCCUAAAACCCAUUUCCAUUUCCAUUUCCAUUUCUAUCACGUGUAGCUUGAAUGAAUUAGGUGCUAUUUGGAAUUAGUUUGGUGUGUCUGCUCAAAUAGUAAGAUCGAGUUUGCUGAAGCUGAUCGAUCUGCAGGCUUGUCUCUUCUCCGUAUGAAGAUGCUGUGGGGUUAAAGAUGUAUGUACGUCCUGAAGAUGCUGCAGGCGUAGACUUGAAUAUACAGUCGUUGUGGACGUCUUGACACCAGUGGCAGAUCCAAAAUUUAGACAGAGGGUUGGCUUUAAUUUUGCCUAAAGGCGAAAGAAAAUUUUCCACUAUAACCAUGUAAAGUGUAGGAGCUUAAAUGUAUAUUAUGAAGUUUUCGUAAAAAAACAGGCAUUGAUGAAAGUAUUGAGAAACUCUAAAUAUCAAAGACAAAUUAGAAAACCCAACAAAUUUUUUUUUCAAAUUGAAUAGAUUGAAAUGCAAUAAUUUAUAUUGACAAUUUAAUAUCCAAUAUAGGAAGAAAAAUGAGGAUUUUUUUAGAUUCAAAGAGAAGAAGACUAGAAAACUAGAUGGAAAAGUGAAAGAGGAAUUGAGAAAUAGAGGCGUAGUCACGUAUAGAAGAAGAGAUAUAGGCAUUGAGAAGUUUAGGUGCCAUAUGAACUUGUUUGAGCAAUAAUGCAAAAUUUAUAUAUAUAUAUAUAUAUAUAUAUAUACCUAGUUUUUUUUUUUAAUUCCACAAAACUCGGUUGGGCUCAAGCCCUACUAACCAAAGGCUUGGCUCCGCGCCUGCUUGACACCCCCAGAUUUUCAUAUUUAGUAGUUUUAAUCGAGCUCGAUCAUCACAAUUAUCAAGUGCAUGAUUUCGUGUGUGUUUGGUUAAUGAUGAAAUGGCUCUAUACAUGCAAUAGCUAUAUCUCUGUAUUCAAUAUAUAGAUUUUCUACAAUUCUGUGUGUGUACAUAUUUGAAGCAUGGUGUUGAUCUACAACACAUUAAUUUGGUGCUGAAUUCAUGACAUGAUCGAGUGGGAUGAUGAGGGAAUCGUUUUAUAGUCCCGGUUUCAUGGUUUGCUCGGAAUAUGAGAAGUCGAUGGCCGGAAUCCAAAUUCUUUUAUGUUUCAUGUACGAUUUGAGGCCAUUUUGCCAUACAAAUUAAUAAACGACGUCCCUAAUGCUUUUGGAUCCCCCCCAAAUCCUAACUAAUUAAACAGAGGGCAAAUUAAGAUAACAUAGCUUAACUAAUUCGUAGUUUUAAAAUCAGCUGUAGGAAAUCUUUGAUUAAUAUAGUCGAUCAUCCCAUGUUAUUGCUAGGAAACAUAGGAAAAAAGUUAAGCAACAAUAAACACUUUGGUAGCUAGGUGGUUCCUUCAUAAUUAAGCACUACACUACUUCGACGGUUCUACCCAGAAUAUUACUCAAUCUGCUAUUCUGCUUCGUUCUUACUCCAGACAUUUUUCUUUUUGGUCGAAAUCCUUACUCUUAGAAUUAAUUCAAAUAUAUAUUGGUCAUCUCCUUUGACCUAAUUGAUAACUAUAUAUAAGGAAAAUUAUAUGCAAAUAUUAGUUAAUAGAAUGAUGAUUGACCAACCAUUCAUGAUUGGCGCAUUAAUAUGAACUUAUAGUCGUGCUCCAUAGAACUUAAAUCUGCUAGUGCUUCCCUUCUCGUUCUCUCAAUUAAGGAAUACAUUUUGUGUAUUCUUGUUUUAUUUGGUAUUGUUAUGAUUGUUGUUUUUCUCUUUUAGAGUUGAGGGAUAAUGUUAAGUUCUAACGAUGAUUGCAGUUUAUGAGGCUCGGUUUGGUUUAUGAAUUAGACAAUCCAAUAUAUGUAGAUAACACUGUUUUAGUUGCACACAUGUAUGAGUAUAUAAGAACUAAACAAUAUUGCUUAUGGGUCUUCUUUUCAUUUCCAAUGUGUAUGAUUUCACAAAUGAAAAGAUUGGUGUACUUGAUGAGAAUUGGAAGGUUGGAAUUUGGAUCACUUUCAUCCUCUCCCGAAAUUUUAGGAUUUUUUUAUUUAUUCGUGACUAUAGCUAAACGAAGCCUUACUUGUAAGUCAUAACCUCUCAAGUAUUUCAUCAACCGAAAUCAUCACAUUCAUUGAUGUUCUGUAACUGAUAACUACAUAACUGCAUCUUCUCGCAUUCCACCCUUCAUUAUCUACCACAUUGACGAAUUAAUACCUUCGAUCACCUAUACAUCAUUUCACCUCAUUUUCUCAUAAACACUAAAAUUAUUUUUCCUUUUUUCGAAUACUUACCAAAUUAGUGAAAGCCUCCAAAUUUGGCGCCUCACUAAUUUCCCCCCAAAAUUGGAAGUCAACGAAGACCACAGUAUUACCAUCCCGAUCCAGUCAACUAACCAGUAACUAAAUCCAGUAACAAAAUGAAUCAAAAUGAAUUAAUUAAAUUAGGUAACUAAUCACAGUGAUAAUCCGCGUCAUUAUCCUGGAAAACAAAACGGCAACCACCAUCAACAACCGGUGAAAGAGAACGACGUACCUUCCGACGCUUUCCCUAUUCUUCAAGCAACAGAGAUACUUAAACGACCGCGUUUCGCUCUUCUUCUUCUUUCGCUUCGAUCCUCAGCUAGGGUUUUCGUAUUUAUGCUUCUCAAAUGCGCCGUAGACUACUCACUCUCUGAACUCCCCCGCUAGGUAAUCAUCUUCUCUCUCUCUUUUUCUCUCUCGAUCUGCAAUUUUCCGAUUGGGCUAGGGUUUCGGCUCAUUUUCGGGUCGGGUUUUGGUGCAGAUUGGAGCCGGAUCGAGAAUGGUGGACGCUGGGCCUGUUACUCCUGGGCAGGUAUUGAUUGAAUGCUGAAGAUGCUUUGUUUGAAUUUUUGUUGUGGAAUUUUGAUGAGGAUCUGGGAAUGUGUGUGGAGUAGUGGUUUGUUUGAGCUGUUAAGGAAGUUUUGGUUUUUGUUUUUCGAGGUUUUGAUCCGAUGAGAAUUGUGUUGAUUGGUAGUGCAUUGCCGUUUUGUAGUGGAGUAGGGGUUAGUGGAUUAGUGCAUUGUGGUUUUAAGAAGAAUGUUUUCGACUGUGUCGCGUUUGAGUGUCGAUUUUACUUCUAAAGUUGCUUUUCGGACCUUAGUUUGUCUAGAUGGACAGAUUGUUUGACGAUGCGGUAAAUUGAAACUAGGAAUGGAAAGAGGGGAGAGUUAAAUCUUGCGUCAUGGUGAGAAAGACGCUAAGAGACUUAAUGUAAUGUAGGUUUUGUGGUUUCCAUGAAUGUAACGUUGUAGUGUAAACUGCGACUAUGAAUCAACAUGGUUUGUCAUGUGGAUUUCUUUGUUGUUGGCAUCCGUAUAUUUAGAUCGGUUGAUCAAAUAUUGACAAGAAAUGCAUUUGGAAUUAGUUCACCCAUUUAAUCUUAAGUUACAUCAGGAUAUUUGUCUUCAUCCCCAUUUAGACGUAUCUUCGUGUGCUAUUGAAUUGCAUGCUGCAUCUCUUCUUGCAUUUUCAAUUUUCUUUAUUUGUGGUCAUUCUUUUGUGAAAGAAUUGAAUCUAGCACAUUCAUUGAAGCUUUGUUAUCAUGUCCCAGGUUUCCUUUUUGCUUGGAAUCAUCCCAGUUUUCAUCACAUGGAUAUAUGCAGAGUACUUGGAAUAUAAAAAAUCUUCAUCUCUUCCUAAAGCGUAAGUUUCUACCUUAAAACGGCCAUAUUCGACUUGGACUUACUUCAAUUCUAUUGGCAUUAGAUUCAUGUUGCUUAGUUAAUAUGAGAUAGAGGAAAGCAUUUAGUCUGCUUUUACUUGUCUUCACUGAUGCAAGGCUGUGGCUUCCCUAAUUAACCAUGGUAUAGGUCAACUUGAGAUGAUAAUGACUAGAAUCUUUCUUCCCAAUGUUUAGUCCUGCCCAUUUCAAUCAAAAGUGGCCCAUUCAGUGCUCAUGGCCCUAUGUUGGGGUAUACAAUGAGAUAGUUAGUCUCUGUUGGAAUCACAUGAAAACCCAUUAUAUAUAUAUAUAUAUAUACACACUAGAUCAUAACAGCAACUAUACAGUAAUAUUUAUGCUUCCAGAAUUGAAACUUGCCGCUCUUUUGAAAGUUUUUCCUCUGUUUUAUUUUUCGUUUAAACAUUUUAAAACAAUAGAACAAGUGUUUCUUCUAUUGUGUAGUCAUUCAGAUAGCAAUCUGGUAGAAUUAGGAGAGGAGACAAUCAAGGAAGAUGAUCGGGCUAUAUUGCUGGAAGGAGGUCUUUCGAGAUCAGCAUCUGUAAAGUUCAAUAGUUCAUCCAUCAAAGUGAACUUAAUGAGGUUCUCUCUAUGAUAUGCAUCAUCCCUAUUAAAUUUCAUGUUCAUUUACUUGCAGGCCUUUCUUACGUUCUGCUUCUCAUUUCCAGGUUUCUGACCAUGGAUGACUCUUUUCUACUAGAACACCGACUAACUCUACGAGUGAUGUGAGUAUUUAGUGUAACACAACUCUUCUUAGGGAAGAAAUAUGUUACUUAUAUCAUACUGGACUUUAACUGUAGGUCUGAGCUUGGUGCUAUUCUGUUUUAUUUCUACAUAUGUGACCGCACAGAUAUACUGGGGGAUUCCACAAAGGUACAAUUUUUAUGAACAUAAACAUAGAUGUGCCACUUUCAUCACAUUAUUGUCUAUGGUUCUAUUAGAUGUCAUAAUCUAUUAUCUAUUAUGUGACGUUCUUUUCUUUUUCAAAUGUCACAUCUCACUCACCUGCACGUGCACAUGAAUUCACAUCUGGAUCCAAAAUGAUACUGUGGUACUACAGUAUGAUAGAUAAAUAUGUUAUCUCUAAUUCGAAAAGAACUAAUUAUUUAAUCUAGUGAAUGUUUUAUAGAGGAAACAUUACCAUGUUCAUUUUAAUGACUGAUGGUGUUACUAUUGUCACUUGUAGAUAAGAUAAAUGGUCCUGUUUUCACUCACAUGAGUGCAUGUUCAUGGGCACAAUAAGCUAAUUGUUUACUCUGAACAUUGAUUUAUUGCUUCUUCUUUUUGUUGUUGUACAGAACUACAAUAGGGAUCUUUUCAUCUUUCUAUGCCUUCUCCUCGUCAUAGUUUCAGCAAUGACAUCUUUGAAGAAACACUCUGACAAAUCGGCAUUCUCUGGAAAAUCCAUACUUUACCUAAAUAGGCAUCAAACGGAGGAAUGGAAAGGGUGGAUGCAGGCAAGUACUCUUUGUCUUUUAGCCUUGGAUGUUUUGGUUUGGGAAAGAAUUGAAUGUUGUGAUAAUGUUACUACUACUCUAGGUGACCACCUUCCAUAUUGGAAUUUGUUUCUUCUCUUUUAGAUAUUUUGAAUUUGUGAUAUCAUCAAUGUUUAUCUGUCUGGAACAAUCAUAUGUCAUCCCUUGGUCUUGAACUUCAUGAGGCUGUAGAUUAAUAAGUAAAACAUGUAUAUAAGAUUUGUUUUCUCUAGCCCUUUGGAGUUAAUCAUGUUUGAACUGGCAGGACAAUAUGUUAAAUCUUUACAUGGAUAGCUCCUUAGUCCUCAAACUACAUUGCUGUUUAUUAGAAUUACAUAUAGUUUUCAAAUAUUUUGUUGUUGUUGUUGUUGUGGCAGGUUCUUUUUCUAUUGUACCAUUACUUUGCUGCAAGCGAGAUAUACAAUGCAAUACGUAUCUUUAUUGCUGCAUAUGUUUGGAUGACUGGAUUUGGAAACUUUUCCUAUUACUACAUUAGAAAGGACUUUAGCCUCGCUCGCUUUGCUCAGGUAAUUUAGUUUUGGAUGGUAUUAUCAUUUCUUAAAUUUCGUUGAGGAGUAAUAUAGUAAUAAUCUGAGUUUCUUUUAUUCAUUAUUGUACAAUGUAGAUGAUGUGGCGGCUGAAUUUUUUUGUGGCGUUUUGCUGUAUCGUUCUCAACAAUGACUAUAUGCUCUAUUAUAUCUGUCCAAUGCACACUCUAUUCACUCUUAUGGUGUAUGGAGCCCUUGGUAUCUUUAGCAAGUACAAUGAGAUCAGAUCAGUAAUGGCUGUGAAGAUUCUUGCUUGCUUUCUUGUGGUUAUCUUGGUUUGGGAAAUUCCUGGGGUUUUUGACAUAGUCUGGCGUCCAUUAGCUUUCUUAUUGGGUAAGUACAUCUCAGAUCUCCAGUUGUUUAUUUUUAUGUCUGUUGUGAAAUUGAGCAACUUCCUUUCUGGUAUUUUGACUCUGGGGAAACUUGGCAGAAAUUUAGUUACAUUGAUCCUGUAGUCUAAAUUGUGUCCUCUUUGUUUUAUAUUUGGGAGGCUUGAGUCCAACAAUGGAUAAUAUUGUCUUUAUUAUGUGGUGUUUUAUUUUAUUUUUAUAGCCUGCUUUUGAGUUUCAUAAUGGGUCUUGUGUUGAUCAAAGAUUCCUUAUACAGAGAAGUGAAAAUAUGUUGGUUUAAUACUCUUGAACCGGUUCAUAUACGACUGAAAACUUAUUGUCUUUACUUUAUACUUCUCUAUUUGCAGGGUAUACUGAUCCUGCAAAACCAGAUCUCCCUCGGCUGCAUGAAUGGCAUUUUAGAUCUGGACUGGAUCGCUACGUAUGGAUCAUUGGAAUGAUAUAUGCGUAUUAUCAUCCUACUGUAAUGCCUUGAACUUUUUAUGCAUUUGAUUGCUUUUUGCUCUUUGAUAUUCUAACUACUGCGAUUUUGAAAUGCAAUAUCUUAGGUUGAAAAAUGGAUGGAGAAAUUGGAGGAGUCUGAUACCAAAAGGAGAGUCUCAAUUAAAGCAGGAAUAGUUUCUAUCGCUUUAUUAGUAAGUUGUGUGGCAUCCAUUAUCUGCUCAUUUAUAAUUUUAAUUGUUUUUUAUAUACUACAAAUGUGUUUUGAUCAUGCUCAUUUUUCCUUUUCAGGUUGGUUAUCUAUGGUACGAGUGUAUUUACAAGCUGGACAAGGUUUCAUACAAUAAGUUGCAUCCCUACACAUCAUGGAUUCCCAUAACGUGCGUGUGAUACAACUUCUUAUCGCUUUAAUUUAAAAGGGAAUGCAUUCCUUGGCAUUUAUUGAGAUGGCUUACUGUCAUUCUUGGUUAAUGUGAUUACAGAGUUUAUAUAUGCCUGCGGAACUUUACUCAGCAGCUGCGGAACUUUUCUUUGACUCUCUUUGCGUAUGUACUUUAAUCACAUUAUCCUUCGCAUUCAGGGCUAAUUUUGUUAUGAUAUUCAAGAUUUUGCUGAUGUAUAAUUGCACUCUGUAUUACUAGGUGGCUUGGCAAGAUUACUCUAGAGACCUAUAUCUCACAGUUCCACAUCUGGCUGAGGUAUGCAGCACUCAAUCUAUUUAUCUUUUUUUAGUUAAACUGUUUAGUCACCAAGUCCAACAUUUUAAACCCAGUGUGAUGCAUCUUUAGUCCUGUGCUAAUAGUUGGACAAUAAAAAUAUUCCUAUAUUCAUGUACAGAUCAAACACACCUAAUGGACAACCUAAAUGGCUUCUCUCGGUCAUUCCAAACUAUCCCAUGCUCAACUUCAUGCUGAUAACUGCCAUCUAUGUUUUGGUAAGAGAAUCCUAUUUAACCAUUAAACUUUUUCAAGCAGACACUGCACACUAAUUCUCACCUUCUGCUGUUCUAUUGACUUGAUUCUACAGGUAUCUCAUAGGCUUUUUGAGUUAACGAAUACGCUCAAGACAGUCUUUGUACCCACAAAAGACAACCAAAGGCUGCUUCAUAAUUUUCUUGCUGGGGCAGCCAUUUUUACUUCUUUGUACUUCAUUUCAUUCAUUAUUGUUCAGAUACCUCAUUGACCAGUAAGCACCUUUCUGCUGUAUGCUCAGUCUAAUGUUCCAUAGUUUACAUUUGGUAACCAGUUGUUACUGGUGCAGGCUUUACAAAUCAAGACCCAAACGAGGGUUAUACAGAUGCUUCCUGUUGGAUGUGCAAAUAUAGAAAGAAUUGAAUAAAGGGAGCUGGGAGUGUCAGUUGCAACUGUAGCCUGAAAAAUGUGGUUCUACCAGUUUUCAAGCAGAAAGGCACUCCAUAGCUGUGUGAAAACCGAAUACCAGUAGAGUUCCCCAUGAGAAGUUUAGAUGGGGGAAGGAAACAGGGAGCAGGAGGAAAAUUCUUUUGAAAUAUUGUGGAUUGUUGUGUAUCUUCACUUUUUCUUUACCCCCCAGUUUUGCUAAAUCAUUGAAGAAAAAUGUAGAUCUCUGUGACAUAGAUAGCUUCGUUUUCUGUUAUAAAACAAGUUCAUAUUCAAUGAAAUGGAAAAGAAAUAGUUGAAAUACCCUAUAUAGUAUAGUGCAGUUCAGUUCUAAAUCUUUGCAAGGGUUUCAAAGCCUGAAGGCAUCUCUGCCCAUGAUUUGUUCAUCAUUGAAAAGAAAUGUACAUUUGAUAAAUUAUUUGUUGAAAGAUUUUUAUUCGGUGAAGGCUUGGGACACAAGUUUCCUCGGCUUCAUGGCAGUAUCAGAAAUGACUCCUAGCAGCAAAACUUGGAGCUCUGGUAGGCUAGCCUUUUCAUGGAAUCUGUUUUACACCUUUUAGGGAUAGAACCUUAGCUUCUCCUGUCUUUGGUUUACGACUCUCAAAAGCCAUGAAAAUGUUCUAUGAACCGCAGAAUGUGCUAGGAGAGACUCCAAGGCUUCUGCAGGUGUUUAUGCAGGUUUGGGUUGCAUUGCGCUGGUUGUUAUUUCAGUGCAUUCCAUUUGUCAUGUAAGUUGCAAACUAUUGCUCCAUAUCUUGAAGGAAAAGGGGAAUCCUAACAACUGUAGGAGACCUUCAGUUCUAGUCAAGACCUACAGGUAUCUUGUGUCAUGUAGGAGAAUCCUAACAACAAUUGUACUAAUGUGUUGCUGCACGCUCCUCAUGCCACAGCAUAUGUAUAUCUUCCGAUUUGUUAUUUUCACACUUUCCAUACUUGGCCUAAAAUUCCAAUAAUUGAAGAUAUUCUCCAACAGUCGCCUGAAAUUUCAAUCAUCCUAGGAUAGGAAGAGAUUGGUUGUUAAUCCUUUUGAACCAUUUUUUCUUUUUGAUGAAGACGUUCAAAGUAGAUUACAAACAGUAAAACCAUGAACCAAACUUCAAAAUGCAAAUGAUAAUGAAAGAUGGUAAACGAAUAGCUAAUCAGUAAGGAGUGGUGGGGAAUUAGAAAAAUUGAUCAUCUUGGUCAUUUGGCACUGACAAAGGUCGACACUGACACCGUUAUGGCCCUUCCCAGACAAUGAGAGCAAUAGUUAUCUAAUCUACAGCCGACCCCCAAGAGGUUGAAUCUCAUGUCAAACAAAAGGAGAAGAUCAAAUCCAAGAGUCUCAUUCAUAAAUCAUUUGUCAUAUUAAAUGUUGCAGCUACUUUGGCUGAGAGACUUAAAAACCAAGCAGCCAUAGUAAACUGAGAGAAUAAUACACCGAUGGAAACUCCAAUCACUUGCUCUUUGCCCCAAAUGAAAAAAAAAAAAAANAAAANNNNNNNNNNNNNNNNNNNNNNNNNNNNNNNNNNNNNNNNNNNNNNNNNNNNNNNNNNNNNNNNNNNNNNNNNNNNNNNNNNNNNNNNNNNNNNNNNNNNUUUAUUUUCGAUUCAAUCACGUUAAAUCAAUAGUCGGAGAAGCAACUCCUCUUCGAUUUUGAGAGUUGCAUCUUGUGCCCACUUAUCACUUAUCAUACUCCCAAAUUUUAACUUGAUUGAUUUUUAAUCUAUUUAAGUAUUUAUUCAUCUCUUUGUGUUACCGUGAUAACGCAUGAGUUUUUAUUUUUAUUUUUUUAUUUUCAGGUUGUUAAUGGUGUUAGUGCCAUGUACGAGGUUAGAUCAAAUGAAUAACUGAGAUUAAAUAUUACUACUCAGUUCACUUGAACCUUAGUGCAUACAAAAACUUUCACAAAUCUCUAUCUCAAUUACUAUAAAACGAGCGGUCUUUCUAAAUCACCAAAUUAUGAUCUGACAAUAUAUAUUACCCUUAUCAGUUGAUUCAGAUUGUUAAGAACAAGGGUUAUUAUAGUAAAUAACAAAAUAAAAAAUAAAAUAAAUAAAAUAAAAAGAUAACGAGGGAGAGAAAAGUGGGUAUUGAGUUUUAUAAUAGAAGAGAAUAAGUAGUGAAUAACUGCAUUAUUAAAGAAUUAUAUGCCCGUAAAAUGCUAGUAAAGUAAUAAACUGAAGUACCAGAAAGCAAUGCGUCUCAAACCCUUCAUCAAAGAGGCUGAGCAACUGCUCUUACCCAAGUGCAUGUAUCGAAAAAACUGCUCUUACCCAAGUCGAAUUCACAUAAACACAAAGUAACCAAAGAAGUAAUUGUUCUUUGGAUUCGCUUGAUAUAGUUUCCCCCGGUGUUCUUGAUCUCUUCUUGGGUUCAAAUUUUUGUGCGAGUUGGUAUGGUUUUGCAUUUUAGGUUGGAGAAUAGAGAAUUCAAUUGCGGUUUGGUUUCAUUUUUAGCAUAGACAGGAUUUCAAUGGUCAUUUGAGAUCAAAUUUUAGUCUUUUGGACUUUUACUGAUAUGGGUCAGAUUUGAUUUCAUAUGGUUUGGUUACAUUAUUGAUCUAAAUUUGCCAAUUUGAGAUUGUACGAAAAUCUGGGUUUAAGGGUAUAGAAUCAUGAUGAAAAUUUUCCAGAUGAAUCUAGUGAGAAAGUGGCUGCGUAGGUUGAAGGGGAAUUUGUUGUCCGAAAAUCUCCUAGUUCUACAAGUAUAACAUGGAGGUCUGUAUUGUAGAUUUAGAUUUGAAGGUGAGUUCAAUUUAAUUCCCGUUGUCCCUUUGAAACUAAUAAUCGAAUAAAGAACCACCGUACAAAAGAAUCAGAGUUCGAGUGUUCAACUGGAAAGGAUAUGUUUAAUUUUCAGGAAUAUUUUUCUUCCUUUUAUCCACUCCGUAACUGAAGUAGGAUGGCGUUAGGUGAGUUUGGAGAGAAAAAGAGAAAUUUUUUUUCUUAUGGACAUGCAUGUUAAUAUCUAAUUAUAUAUACAUACCCAGUGAAACAGCAAGCAGGAGAACGAUCGAAUUGUCCUUGAUGCAACUCUUGCCAUCCGUCUUGUCCUUUUUGUAUCCUUUAUGACAUGAACAAGUGUAAUUUUGUGGAAAUAGAAGAUUUACGCAGUUUCCGUUCCGGCAGGAAUUUGAGGCUUUGCAGUCAUCAAUAUCUGAAAGAAAAAUUAGGAAAGGAAAAGCGUAUAAGAGAUCACUAAAUUUGGUUAAAUUGAAAUUCCAAUGGUGAGAGCUUUAAUUACUUUAUCUUGAAUACAAUUGUAGCUGAGUAGGUAAAUCAAAGAGAAUCAUCACCUGUGCAACCAUCUGGGUGGUACGGGUUUCCUUCAUAACCAGGCGAGCACUGGCACAAGUAACCUGCAGAAUUGAUAACACCAUUGACGCACUUGCUAUUAGCCUUGCAUGCGAAAUCCUUCCUGUUCUGAGCUUGAUCACAGGGGUCUGAUUCAUUCCCAAUGGCCCAAUUUAGAACCAUUGGAAGCUGUUGUGUGUAAUUCAGUUGUUCAAAACUAGAAGAGUUGAAAUUGAACAGGCCUUCCUCCUCAAUAAAGGCGUAGUUGCAGGGGUUGAAGCUCCACACUUGCGACUGAUUUGUGAAGCUAGUCAACACUAAAGAAACAUUGUUCAGUCCACCGGGAAUAUUGAUCUGGCAACAACCAAUGCCAGAGCAAAAGUUAUCAACGACACUGCCAAGGCUGUGGCAUUUUGACAUGCACCCUGUAACGACUCCUAAUUCCCCACGGAAGCCUCGCAUGAUUGCAUAAGUGUCACAGCCAACGGCAUAGAACUUGUUUUUGGAAUCGGAGACCGUAUAAGGAAGCUGACGAGGCAGAAGUAAAACGUACGAUUGCCCUGGGCGUCAUAGCAAUCUGUACUUACAUGGUUUAAUAUUUGCAACUCCCCAGCCUCUAGGGAUAUGUUAGUAACAACGAUAUUCGUUGUCAUCAAAUAUGCAGUUGGCGGUUGAGUCGUGCGGCUGCAAUUGAUAAAGAAUUCAUCUCCCAGGUAACAACCCUCCUCCAUGCCGAAUGGAUAUGGAACUGUGAGAUCACCGCACUUGUCUGGGCAGCCAGGCAGGACAUGAGCAGCAGCUGCUGUUUUCACCGUACUAGCCGCCGAUAAUAGGAGUAGGACUGCCGCCAAUGGGAAUUGCAAGGCCAUGAUCGACAUGCGUGCAGUGAUGCAGCACUAGCGUGCUGAGCUUGUUUGUGGAAUUUGUAACUGAUCGAGGGCAAAAGCUGGACUACUCCAUGAGUACGGGUACUCCUGACAGUUCUGUUAACGGAAGGGUACGAAUGUAAUUUCCGCUCGUCGCGGUAACCAAUUGUUUUUACUGCGAGACUAGAGGACAACACAGAGAAUUUUCCUCCGGAGUCGUUCCCGAGACUGCAGAACACCACUCUCAAGCCUUCACCCACUAGCUUCAAGGAUUCAAAAUCAAAAAAUAAAAUCUGGAAUCCAGAACACAGAGAUAUUAGACACGAAGCUCAGUGCCGAGAGAGCAGAGUCGUAUCAAUUCGAACGGAUCCGAAGAUAUAUUCUAGAUCUCGAAGCUCAGUGCUGAGAAAGCAGAGUCGUAUCAUUCACAGCUCAUAUUUAACCUUCAAACUCACAUCACAUGUUUACUCAAUUAUUUGGUAUUAUCCCCUCUCACCCAACCCACUUUCUGGUAAUUUACUCAUCCUGCAAAGUAUGAAUGUCCUGGUAUUGGGGACCGUUUGAUUCUUUUGUUAACUUCUUAACCUUCUGUCAUCUUUCCUCAACCAGUGACAUUGGUACCUAAUCCUAGUGUAAUCAUUGUUGAAAUGUUUAUCUUAAAUGAAAUUAUAAAUGUAAUAUGUACGGAUUGUACGCACUAAAUGGAAUCCUAUAUUUCUUGUCUGCAAAAGUGAUUUUCUGUUGCCGCAAUUGGAGAGUUUAAUAGCUCGUCAGUUGCUUACUAUUGUAAUUGAUGAAGCUCAUUGUCUGAGUCAGUUGGGGGAAAUGAUUUUUGAUUAGAUGAUCAGGUUGAACCUUAACAAUUUUCAAAUUCAUGACAGUAGCUUUUUUCUUCUUGAUUUUGUUCUAAUGUCGUUUCAAUAGGAUGAAGAAUCACCUAAAUCGGAUAAGAAUUGAGUCUUGUAGAGGACUAUAAAGUAGGACAGUAGUCUUAAUUUUUCUGGUAUGAACAUCUGAAAAAUCGGGGUUCUAAUUUGAGUUUGUUGACAAUGCUAAUAUGGCAUCUCCUGUUGUAUAGCAUUUUGUCUUCGUUAUCAUAUUUUCGAAUUUGUUGAAUUCUGUAGAAGUAGAAGAAUUUUUGAGACUUUAUUGGCUGUUUGAACAUAUUUUAGCUCUGUUUGAAAUAGUUCUUUGGAAGUUGGUUUUGUUACUUGUUUUUGACCUGUAUCUUUUCAAUCUUGUUUGGAUAAACCGGCGGUAAAGUGUCUCUGAGAGUUUGAGUCCGACUUUGGUAAAGCAUCACAUAUAUGGAAACUAUCUUGGCUUUGACAUAAAUGCAAGUCGAUCUCUUACCUUCCAUUAUGUAUAAGCUUGAAUGUUUGGCUGUGUGUUUUGAGUUACUGAUCAAAUUGUAGAAAAUUCUAUUGCUUCAGAUCAUUUUAUUUUUAAGUCAUGUGAGUGGUAAGACUACUUUGUCUUUACGUAUAUACAAAGAGGCAUAAAGUUGGAGAAGGGGUUGCGGGGCGAGGGAUUUGAGGAGGUGAUAUCGGUGCCCACGGCGACAGGGAGGCAUCACAUUCUUUUCUGUAGUAAAAGAUUAAAGGUAUUGUCUUUUGAAGUUUUUUUUUUUUUAAUUUGAUUUAGAAUUUAAUAUUGAUCCAAGAUCUGAUUUAGAUCUUUCUUAUUCCUUCACUAUGGUUCUUAUUUAAGUUGGAGUUUUGGACAGUAGGACUCUUCUAUAUUCAUUUGUGUUGGUUCUUAUUUAUCAUUGAUCACUUGCGUAUAUAUUAUCCAGGGAAAUAAAUAUGAGCAAAACAGUCUGUUUCUGAAAGGCAGAAAACAUCAGUAUACAUCAGACCAAAAAAGAAAAA
rnacentral:lncRNA from 1 species